rnacentral:lncRNA from 1 species
UUUUUUUUCGUUUUUGAGAUUUUUUCCCCUGGUUUUUUUGUCAAAUGUUAAUGUAUAGAUGGGUCGGUCCACCGUCGCUGGCACAUGGGCGCCAUGGAGCUUCCCUGGCGCCUGAAGCGCCAAAUAGGAGCUCCCGCCUAUUGGGACAAGGAUGAGGAGCACACGAGUGCGCAGCUCGUUGAAAUCAUUACGAGUCACUUUUUGGUUCGGAAUCCUUUGCACAGUUACUUGAGUGAUUUUCACAUUCAUGAUACAUCGGUCGUAUGUAUAUAUGUACAGUCCCAACCUGUCCAUACAUAUCUACGGAGUAAUACGAAUUGCAAUGGAGACAUGACAUUGAUGGGUAGGACGUGGCAAAUAAAGUCUCACAGACAGAAGCAAAAAAUUCCACAAAGCAUUGAAUGACCUUACCGUUGGUGUGCAUGUCCAUCGUGUAAAUAAUGGAUUAACCUAUAAAAGCACGGUGGUAACAGUGAAAACUGACUAUAAUAGAACCGAUUCUUCCACGGUGCAUUGAAUAUGUUACAUGUUUGUGUGUUGUAUGCAUGUCUGAUGUGUAAAGAAAUUGGAUAAAUCAGUAGAAACUGUUAAGCUAAAUAUUUGUUUCAUUGGCCUAAAUGAUAAUAAUCUCUACUAUCUAAAAGAACCGUAAGGUUCCGUUUCCCCCCUUACGUCGUCGAACCUUCUCCCCUUCGUCCGCCUCUCCCUGCUCCCGAUUUGAUUUUUUCAGCUUCCCAUCUUUUUUUCUAAAAAACAUUAAUUAGGCUUUAAUUUCUCUCCAUAAUCUCCUCCGUAAUUUGCGCCUCGUCCCGUACCAUCGACUCGCCCACGCAACCUCUCAACUCAUCUGACUUGCCUCUCCUCCGCCAUGCCGCCUCCCCACGCCGGCUGCCUCCCCCUGCAGGGCCGAUCCCUGGCGGCCUUCCUCUGAUAUGUCGCCUCCCCAACGGCGACCGCCAACGGCCUACGCUGCGGCUCGGGCGCCUCCCACCAUGCCCCUCCUCUCCAAUCACAGGUGCCAUCCCGCGAUCGAAAGUUUCCCCCGCCGUCGGCUCCGGACGAAGCCGCCGCCAUGGGUGGGGAUCUCCUUCUAUAUGAUCCUGCUAUCUCGACAGUUUGGAUCCACUCAUGGAUUUUUACAUGCCCGUCUUUCAUGGAUUCGUGGUCGCAGGCACGAGCUGUGCAAGACGAACCAAUUGAACAUGACGAAGUUUCUGUAGCGGCUGGUUCGUGCGCUGUCUCGGCUUCCGGGUAAAGCCGGUUUGGUUUCCCUCUCAAGUUUCAAGUCACACCCUCCCUCGUGUUCUUGGUACGAUUCCAUGGAUGGUCACAUUACAUGUGUUUGUGUGUGAUUUCUGCCUCGUAUCUAAUCUUUCUUUGUAGUAAUGAUAGGAUCAGAAGACCCACUCUUUUUUCUGUACAGUAAGCAACCACCAUAUUUAUUUUACAAUGUGCCGCAGGAAAUCAGAACCCAACCGCUUUUGCUUUGCUACUAUUAAUUUUUGGUGUCCAAGGAAAAUAUGGUGACAACAAAUAUUUGUCUUGGAUCCACCCCUGCUAUUAAUGUCUCCUAUCUUGUACAACAAAUAUUUGAAAACAUUGCCAUAUUCUGUGGUGAAUGCAGAGAUAGAAGCCUCUGCAUUGACAUCUUAAUUGCAACAAAUAUUUCAAAGCUGGGGAUGUAUGGCAAAUAUUAGUUGCAUGGUAAGCCUCUGCAUUUGAAGUAGCUGCUAUUUGUUGGCAACUUUUCCUGUACAGGAAGCCUAUGCAUAAGCUUAUACUUCCCUCCAUGUUGCUCUCUCAUAUAUAUGGUUUUGUGAAUUACUUGCUUCUCUGUGCAUAAGAAAUUACAUUUUACAUAAAUCAAACAAAAAGAGCCACAUCUCAUAGCAUCAUCUCCAUUUGGGAUUCUAAAAUGGGCAUUGAUGGUCAAGAAACAAUUUUCAGAAAGUAGCAAUUUGAUCAAGAGACACAUAUUCUAGAAGUUUAGGUGCUAACCUUUUCUUAACUUGUUCCCAUAUGCAGUCUAAAGUUUAUCAACCAGGUGGUGAUGAUUGCAGAAUUCCAGUCCUUGAGUGUGUCUACAAGUGGAUUCAGGUACCGUUCCAAGUUUUUCUUCUAAAAUUACACAUCUUAUGGUGCCCAUCCCACUUCAGUAGUUGAGCUUCAUGAUGUUAGAUUGUUCUUUGUAGGCUUUAGCCUGUUAUACUCGGUCUUCAAACUGAACGACAAUGCACUGUUAAUGUAAUAGAGUUGUCACCUUCAUGUAGGAUGCUCCUCUUCCUUCAUUGACUGCUUAAUGUAUCUUAUCAGGUCCUGGAAAGAUUGGGAGUGAUCUUAGUGCCAGAAGGUAACAAUCUUAGGGGUGCAGGGUGGACCAGUGGAGCAGGUUGUAAACAGUAAGCCCCUUCCAGUGAAAUUGAUAGCUUCGUGGCCAGUAUGUUUUUCUUGUGAUGGUAGGACUGAUUGCUCUACCUACACAUACCAUUUUUUGAUACAAUAUUAGAGCUUAUUCCAUCUACCUUGUUCUCUAUUUCCAGAAGGGUGUAUGAUGCGGUGUUUCCUUCAUAUGAUAUCAUUUGUAGUUUGCACAAACUUAACUUGCAUUAACGUAUUCUUAAAUUUUUAUUAUGUGUACCUGAUGUCUUCUGCACAUUUUGAUUAUUUGAUUUUGAGAGAUUCUCAAGGUUAGUAUAGCCAUUACUGAUGCAGUGAUGUGGACUUUGUAGCCUCUUUGGAUAUGCUCGGCAAGUCGCCCGGGUCGUGCGACAUUGUGGCACAUGUGCGAGUAGGGGCUGCUACUUAUUUCAGUUGCUUGUACAGAUUUGAGGCAACCCAGUUUUACUUUUUUUAUACUGGCUACUGUAUACAGAAUCAAUGUUGCAUUAUGGACGUUUUGUUCCAUUAUUGAUUUCAAACGAGUAUUUUGAUGCUAAUACACACUCAUCCCCCUGGUUGUCACCAUUGUAGCUGUAUAGAUGGUCUAACUAAUGUUUUUGGUUCCUAUUUACAAGUGAUGUUUGGUAUGAACAGUGGCGGAGCGUGAUGAGCAACUAGGGGGUGGCAAUUUUCAAACUAAAAGAGAAAUAUGCAUGAAAAGUCAAAAACAGGCAAGUCUCGCAACAUAAAAUUAAAAAGAUAAUAAUUGUUACCUAAAACGAUAAUUCAAUAACUACUGUUGCUUCUCAGUUUCAAGUUUCUUUAAUUGAUAUAACCAUAAUGUGGUUGAUUGGUUUAACAUCUGAUGGUAUGAAUCAUGUUUCUUUAGUUACUUUAUAUAUCAAGUUAACCCUUUUUGCAAAAAAAACUCAUAUACAACUGGUUAACUCCCAUGGGCCAGCAGUCAGAACAUGUGAAUCAAGUUUCCAUGGCAAUCAAAAUUCACAUGUACCUUGCUCAUGUCCUUCGGCAAGAAUAUGGACAAUGUUGCUUUACGUGCAAGAACAUCUGAAAAGUACAUGUGCUAUGAUUGAUAUUGCCCUGUGGUCGCGUUGUCCCCGUGGAUUACCGAGGGCAAGCCUAGGUGCGCCCAGCCCCUCUCCCCUGCCGCCGGGCAAAGCCUGGCCGACAUAGGUGGUGGUGGGGCUCUGUUUCCUCUCUGCCCGAGGCGGGCUGGCACGGGACAGCUAAACGGGCGGGGGUGGAGGGCUGUUGCGGGGCUUCAUGGUGAAUUGCGCUCCGUGGAGGUCUGUGUCGACUUCAAGCAGUCUUCGUAGAUAGCUUGGUUGUUGUUGGGGUGAUGUGUCGGUGCCCGGCGCCUCUGUAUCUUGCCUUGGAUGGGUGUGUUAUGUGCGGUGGUGUGUGUUUGUAUCGGUUCGCUCGGAUGUAAUGGAAUGUUGGUUGCUUUAAAUAUAAAGCGGGGGAAACCCUUUUUCUUCAUAUUGCCCCGUGGCAACGCACGGGCAAGUAACUAUCUAUUACAAAUUCGUUUACACGCGGGAUAGUGGCGAUUGGUGCAACCAAACUUUAUACUGGUAAGGGCAUCUUCAACGCCGACCCGGCACCCGCAAACCGAUCGUAACUAUCUGGAUCAUGCUGCCUGGACCGUGGAAGCCAUCUGACGCAGUUCUGUAUCGGUCCGUGACACGGUCUGGACAUAUUUUCUUCCGCAAACCCGCUUCUGAUCACACUGACCCGCCAAACCCCCUCCUCUCUCGCUGGCGCGCGUUCCCUUCCGGCACCAGCUGCCUGCAUUCAUGCCGCUGUAGAGUGUGCUGCUCCACAUUGACGUCGGGACAGAGCGAACGCGACCUCUCACCGCCUCCACCAUCGAAGCGGCGCGUCGGCCAAGGGCGUCGUCCGCGAUGCAUCUCCGAUGUCCGUGCCUAUUCAAUGCCGGAUACGCGUUACCGUACGGGACAUGAUGGAUAUCUACCAUGCUCGUUGAAUGCCCUGUUCAUCUGUAUGCCGCCAUUAAGCAGGCUUGUUGGCCGAGAAACCUACUCCAGCGUCGUGUAGUGACGCACCCGGACGCCUGGCCUCACCGAAAAUUGCUAUUUAAAGGCGUCCACACCCAGCUAACUCAACGCCAAAACACAAGCCGCUCCUGAUCCUCCUCCAUUGCUCUGCAUCUGCCAUGACUGCAAGCGGCGAAGUUUUGUGGAAGAGCCUUUCCACAGAGAUGAAGCACGAUGUGGUCGCCCCUUGCCGCCACCUGGUAGAGCCGCCAUGCCAGGCGGAUCGAGCCCGGAUUGCCGGCCAACUCGCCCGAGGUCUCGGACGACGAGGAGGACCCCAUGAUGGAGAUGGGCUCCGACGACACCGUCCUGGCUCUCGUGCUUGUGCAUGUUGGCUUCACAAAGCAUUGAUGGGUAGGACGUGGCAAAUAAAGUCUCACAGACAGAAGCAAAAAAAAUUCACAAAGCAUUGAAUGACCUUAACGUUUGUGUGCAUGUCCACCGUGUAAAUAAAGGAUUGACCUACAAAAACACGGUGGUAACAGUGAAAACUAACUAUAAUAGAACCGAUUCUUCCACAGGGCAUUGAAUAUGUUACAUGUUUGUGUGUUGUGUGCAUUUCUGAUGUGUAAAGAAACUAGAUAAAUCAGUAGAAACUGUUAAAAUAAAUAUUUGUUCCAUUGACCUGAAUGAUACUAAUCUAUUACAAAUUCGUUUACACACGGGAUAAUGGUGAUUGGCGCAACCAAACUUUAGGGUGCUAACAGCUGGAUUAGACAAAUAAUCUUCAUCUGGAUAAUAUUACUAUAAUAUUACGUAACUACGACUAAGGAUCGCGUUUAGGUUGAUUCUCCACAACUAAACCGACGGGUCGAUGAGGCGGUCCGCUAACUACGUGAUCUGAACAUCGGAGGACCCAGCUGCAAAGGAAGACUAGAACUAGGAAAUUAACUAGGGCGAGGCGGUGUAGGCUCCUAAGAUAUAUUCCACCGUCACAAAUUGGAUGGAUGAACACACGUGGCCACUUCUAGAAGUUGGAAUUGUGGGCACAUAACAAACAAUGAGGGUCUGAGUGUGUGGGGACCCCGACUCAUAAGUCGUAAUCAUCGAAUGCACGUGUACAGUGAUCCCAGAGAUCAAUGCUUACUGAACACAUAGAAACUGAAUAACAAGAGUCUUACAUCCAUACAUACUGUCUUACAUAAAUUAUGACCGUUAUGGUCGAGUCUUGAGUAUAACUUCGCAGCGGAAAUCUUCGUCGAUAACUUGGACCCAUGCCAUCUGCCUUAACCCUACAGGCAUUCUGACUGGGAAGUGUCCUAGCUCGCAUGUUUGUCACCGAAGUAUUCUUCAUCAUAUCCUGUUCUUUCAUGCCUGGCCAAUAAAAUAAACAGUGGCAAGCCAAUGAGUACUUUGAAUGUACUCGCAAGCAACCCAUGUUUUGGCUCAAGAUACAACAAUGCAUGACAUAGGUAAAUUUUUUGCAGAAAGCUAAUUUUGUUGUGUUAUGACAUGUUCAACAACUGGUAAAACAUGCAUCAUAUGAAUUCAAGUAACCUUAGGAACCGGUUACAGAUAUCAACAUAAAGGGAGUGGGCUCCAACCCAACUCAUCCAUGUCAAGUCCUUUGACUUGACCCAAGUAGUUCUUCCCACACACACUGGUUUGUAAACAAGUGGACGUAGCCCAAGAGCGGUUACCCAACUGUCCUUGACCGUGGACACGGCUAUUCGAAUAGUUUUACACUCUGCAGAGGUUGCAUACUUUACCCACAAGAUCCGGGGAACUUCCGUAUCAUCCACGACCCGCGGUACCUCAAGUACCCGGGGUAAGCACCCGAUCACUAUCUUUCCCUAGACGAUACUAAUAUAGAGUCCACUCGAUUAGUAGUAACCCCCCGUGCCCAACAUUUCACAUCUUAAAAUUAUGGAGCCUGGCUCCCAUAUUCAUCACAUACCACAAGCACGAGGUACCAACGGUGUGUCCGGUGCCCUGUGAAAACAGUCAUGGCCGCCCUACCUGGCACGACCCCGUCCCGAGAGAGCGCAACAACAACUCUCCCAUCACUAGUAAUGCAGGCUCCAAGCUAGUAUUGACCUAGGUAAUCAAUAAUGCCAUUUCCCAUAUAAGGGUAGAGUGGUUGCGCAUGUAAGGUUGGAAUAACGGUCGCAACUUAAACCAAUCCGUUUUGAAAACAACACACACACUUGCCUCAGUACACCACUUCGUCAUCAAGUGGUUACCCAACUCAUUAUCUCCUUCGGGCAUAAGUGGCACCCGACAGGGUUUUCGAAAACUCUUUCGAAAACAAUCUUGCUCCCAUCACCAUGCAUAUUCCUGUCCCUUUUUGCGUAGCGACUACUUUAGCAUCCUAUCUGUUGGGGAACAUAGUAAUUUCAAAAUUUCCUACGCACACGCAAGAUCAUGGUGAUGCAUAGCAACGAGAGGGGAGAGUGUUGUCUACGUACCCUCGUCGACUAUUCGCUGAAGCGUUAUAUCAACGCGGUUGAUGUAGUUGUACGUCUUCAUGAUCCGACCGAUCCAAGUACCGAAAGCACGGCACCUCCGAGUUCUGCACACGUUUGGCUCGGUGACGUCCUCGCCUUCUCGAUCCAGCAAGAAGGGCGCAGUAGUAGAUGAGUUCCAGCAGCACGACGGCGUGGUGACGGUGUUGGUGAAGAACAAUCUCCGCAGGGCUUCGCCUAAGCACUACGAAAACUAGGACGGAGGAUAAACUAGAGGGGACGGGGUUGCCGGCACACGGCUUGGUGUUUCUUGAUGUGUCUUGGGUGCUAGCCCUACCCCUCUAUUUAUAUGUUGAGCCUUGGGGUCAAAACUUGGAGUAAAAGCCUCCACAAAGUCGGUUUCACCCGAAAGGCAAGAGUCCUUCUCGGACUCCAGGGCCAGACGCCAGGGUUCCCGGCGUCUGGCCCCUGGACUCCGCAAAACUUCCUUUUGCGCUUUCCAAAAACCUUGUGGGCUUUCCCCUUUGGCCCAAAUAAAGUGUUCUUGUACCCAAACAUUUCGGGAAACAUUUGGAACCCCUUCUAGUGAAUUCCGGUACCCUUCUGGUGACCAAACACUAUUAUCCCAUAUAUCAAACUUUAUCUCCGAACCAUUUCGGAGUUCCUCGUCAUGUCCGUGAUCUCAUCCCGGACUCCGAACAACAUUCGGUCACCAACAUACAUAACUCAUAUAGUACUAUAUCGUCAACGAACGUUAAGCGUGCGGACCCUACGGGUUCGAGAACUAUGUCAUGACCGAGACACCUCUCUGGUCAUUAACCAAUAGCGGGACCUGGAUUCCCAUAUUGGCUCCUACAUAUUCUACGAAGAUCUUUAUCGGUCAGACCGCAUAACAACAUACGUUGUUCCCUUUGUCAUCGGUAUGUUACUUGCCCGAGAUUCGAUCGUCCGUAUCUCAAUACCUAGUUCAAUCUCUUUACCGGCAAGUCUCUUUACUCGUUUCGUAAUACAUCAUCCCACAACUAACUCAUUAGUUGCAAUGCUCGCAAGGCUUAUAGUGAUGUGCAUUACCGAGUGGGCCCAGAGAUACCUCUCCGACAAUCGGAGUGACAAAUCCUAAUCUCGAAAUACGCCAACCCAACAAGUACCUUUGGAGACACCUGUAGAUCACCUUUAUAAUCACCCAGUUACGUUGUGGCGUUUGGUGGCACACAAAGUGUUCCUCCGAUAAACGGGAGUUGCAUAAUCUCAUAGUCAUAGGAACAUGUAUAAGUCAUGAAGAAAGCAAUAGCAACAAACUAAACGAUCAAGUGCUAAGCUAACGGAAUGGGUCAAGUCAAUCACAUCAUUCUCCUAAUGAUGUGAUCCCGUUAAUCAAAUAACAACUCAUGUCUAUGGUUAGGAAACUUAACCAUCUUUGAUCAACGAGCUAGUCAAGUAGAGGCAUACUAGUGACACUCUGUUUGUCUAUGUAUUCACACAUGUAUUAUGUUUUCGGUUAAUUCAAUUCUAGCAUGAAUAAUAAACAUUUAUCAUGAAAUAAGGAAAUAAAUAAUAACUUUAUUAUUGCCUCUAGGGCAUAUUUCGUUCAGUCUCCCACUUGCACUAGAGUCAAUAAUCUAGAUUACACAGUAAUGAUUCUAACACCCAUGGAGCCUUGGUGCUGAUCAUGUUUUGCUCAUGGAAGAGGCUUAGUCAACGGGUCUGCAACAUUCAGAUCCGUAUGUAUCUUGCAAAUUUCUAUGUCUCCCCACCUGGACUAAAUCCCGGAUGGAAUUGAAGCGUCUCUUGAUGUGCUUGGUUCUCUUGUGAAAUCUAGAUUCCUUCGCCAAGGCAAUUGCACCAGUAUUGUCACAAAAGAUUCUCAUUGAACCCGAUGCACUAGGUAUGACACCUAGAUCGGAUAUGAACUCCUUCAUCCAGACUCCUUCAUUUGCUGCUUCUGAAGUAGCUAUGUACUCCGCUUCACACGUAGAUCCCGCCACGACGCUUUGUUUAGAACUGCACCAACUGAUAGCUCCACCGUUUAAUAUAAACACGUAUCCGGUUUGCGAUUUAGAAUCGUCCGGAUCAGUGUCAAAGCUUGCGUCAACGUAACCAUUUACGAUGAGCUCUUUGUCACCUCCAUAAACGAGAAACAUAUCCUUAGUCCUUUUCAGUUAUUUCAGGAUGGUCUUGACCGUUGUCCAGUGAUCCACUCCUGGAUUACUUUGGUACCUCCCUGCUAGACUUAUAGCAAGGCACACAUCAGGUCCGGUACACAGCAUUGCAUACAUGAUAGAGCCUAUGGCUGAAGCAUAGGGAACAUCUUUCAUCUUCUCUCUAUCUUCUGUAGUGGUCGGGCAUUGAGUCUUACUCAACUUCACACCUUGUAACAUGGGCAAGAACCCUUUCUUUGCUUGAUCCAUUUUGAACUUUUUCAAAACUUUGUCAAGGUAUGUGCUUUGUGAAAGUCCAAUUAAGCGUCUUGAUCUAUCUCUAUAGAUCUUGAUGCCCAAUAUGUAAGCAGCUUCACCGAGGUCUUUCAUAGAAAACUUUUAUUCAAGUAUCCCUUUAUGCUAUCCAGAAAUUAUAUAUCAUUUCCAAUCAGCAAUAUGCCAUCCACAUAUAAUAUCAGAAAUGCUACAGAGCUCCCACUCAGUUUCUUGUAAAUACAGGCUUCUCCAAAAGUCUGUAUAAAACCAAAUGCUUUGAUCACACUAUCAAAGUGUUUAUUCCAACUCCGAGAGGCUUGCACCAGUCCAUAAAUGGAUCGCUGGAGCGUGCACACUUUGUUAGCUCCCUUUGGAUCGACAAAACCUUCUGGUUGCAUCAUAUACAACUCUUCUUCCAGAAAUCCAUUCAGGAAUGCACUUUUGACAUCCAUUUGCCAAAUUUCAUAAUCAUAAAAUGCGGCAAUUGCUAACAUGAUUCGGACAGAAUUAAGCAUCGCUACGGGUGAGAAGGUCUCAUCGUAGUCAAUCCCUUGAACUUGUCGAAAACCUUUUGCAACAAGUCGAGAUUUAUACACAGUAACAUUACCGUUAGCGUCAGUCUUCUUCUUGAAGAUCCAUUUAUUCUCAAUUGCGUGCCGAUCAACGGGCAAGUCAACCAAAGUCCACACUUUGUUCCCAUACAUGGAUCCCAUCUCAGAUUUCAUGGCCUCAAGCCAUUUUGCGGAAUCUGGGCUCACCAUCGCUUCUUCAUAGUUCGUAGGUUCAUCAUGGUCUAGUAACAUAACUUCCAGAAUAGGAUUACCGUACCACUCUAGUGCAGAUUUUACUCUGGUUAACCUACGAGGUUCAGUAACAACUUGAUCUAAAGUUUCAUGAUCAUCAUCAUUAACUUCCUCACUAAUUGGUGUAGGUGUCGUAGAAACCGUUUUCUGUGAUGAACUACUUUCCAAUAAGGGAGCAGGUACAGUUACCUCAUCAAGUUCUACUUUCCUCCCACUCACUUCUUUCGAGAGAAACUCCUUCUCUAGAAAAACUCUGAAUUUAGCAACAAAAGUCUUGCCUUCAGAUCUGUGAUAGAAGGUGUACCCAACAGUCUCCUUUGGGUAUCCUAUGAAGACACAUUUCUCCGAUUUGGGUUCGAUCUUAUCAGGUUGAAGCUUUUUCACAUAAGCAUCGCAGCCCCAAACUUUCAGAAACGACAACUUUGGUUUCUUACCAAACCAUAGUUCAUAAGGCGGUGUCUCAACGGAUUUCGAUGGUGCCCUAUUUAAGGUGAAUGCGGCCGUCUCUAAAGCAUAUCCCCAAAACAAUAGCGGUAAUUCAGUAAGAGACAUCAUAGAUCGCACCAUAUCUAAUAAAGUACGAUUACGAAGUUCGUACACACCAUUACGCUGUGGUGUUCCGAGUGGCGUGAGUUGCGAAACUAUUCCGCAUUGUUUUAAAUGAAGACCAAACUCAUAACUCAAAUAUUCUCCUCCAUGAUCAGAUCGUAGAUACUUUAUUUUCUUGUGACGAUGAUUUUCAACUUCACUCUGAAAUUCUUUGAACUUUUCAAAUGUUUCAGACUUAUGUUUCAUUAAGUAGAUAUACCCAUAUCUGCUUAAGUCAUCUGUGAAGGUGAGAAAAUAACGAUAUCCGCCACGAGCCUCAACAUUCAUUGGACCACAUACAUCUGUAUGUAUGAUCUCCAACAAAUCUGUUGCUCUUUCCAUAGUUCCGGAGAACGACGUUUUAGUCAUCUUGCCCAUGAGGCACAGUUCGCAAGUACCAAGUGAUUCAUAAUCAAGUGGUUCCAAAAGUCCAUCAGUAUGGAGUUUCUUCAUGCGCUUUACUCCGAUAUGACCUAAACGGCAGUGCCACAAAUAAGUUGCACUAUCAUUAUCAACUCUGCAUCUUUUGGCUUCAAUAUUAUGAAUAUGUGUAUCACCACUAUCGAGAUUUAGCAAAAAUAGACCACUCUUCAAGGAUGCAUGACCAUAAAAGAUAUUACUCAUAUAAAUAGAACAACCGUUAUUCUCUGAUUUAAAUGAAUAAUCGUCUCGCAUCAAACAAGAUCCAGAUAUAAUGUUCAUGCUCAACGCUAGCACCAAAUAACAAUUAUUUAGGUCUAAUACUAAUCCCGAAGGUAGAUGUAGAGGUAGCGUGCCGACCGCAAUCACAUCGACUUUGGAACCAUUUCCCACGCGCAUCGUCACCUCGUCCUUAGCCAAUCUUCGCUUAAUCUGUAGCCCCUGUUUCGAGUUGCAAAUGUUAGCAACAGAACCAAUAUCAAAUACCCAGGUGCUACUGUGAGCAUUAGUAAGGUACACAUCAAUAACAUCUAUAUCACAUAUACCUUUGUUCACUUUGUCAUCCUUCUUAUCUGCCAAAUACAUGGGGCAGUUCCGCUUCCAGUGACCAGUCUGCUUGCAGUAGAAGCACUCAGUCUCAGGCUUAGGUCCAGACUUGGGUUUCUUCUCCUGAGCAGCAACUUGUUUGUUGUUCUUCUUGAAGUUCCCCUUCUUCUUCCCUUUGCCCUUUUUCUUGAAAUGGGUGGUCUUAUUGACCAUCAACACUUGAUGCUCCUUCUUGAUUUCUACCUCUGCGGCCUUUAGCAUCGCGAAGAGCUCGAGAAUAGUCUUAUUCAUCCCUUGCAUAUUAUAGUUCAUUACGAAGCUUUUGUAGCUUGGUGGCAGUGAUUGAAGAACUCUGUCAAUGACACUAUCAACAGGAAGAUUAACUCCUAGUUGAGUCAAGUGAUUAUGAUACCCAGACAUUUUGAGUAUAUGUUCACUGACAGAACUAUUCUCCUCCAUCUUGCAGCUAUAGAACUUAUUGGAGACUUCAUAUCUCUCAAUCCGAGAAUUUGCUUGAAAUAUUAACUUCAACUCCUGGAACAUCUCAUAUGCUCCAUGACGUUCAAAACGUCGUUGAAGACCCGGUUCUAAGCCGUAAAGCAUGGCACACUAAACUAUCGAGUAGUCAUCAGCUUUGCUCUGCCAGACGUUCAUAACAUCUGGUGUUGCUCCUGCAGCAGGCUUGGCACUUAGCGGUGCUUCCAAGACGUAAUUCUUCUAUGCAGCAAUGAGGAUAAUCCUCAAGUUAUGGACCCAGUCCGUGUAAUUGCUACCAUCAUCUUUCAACUUUGCUUUCUUAAGGAACGCAUUAAAAUUCAACACAACAGCAUAGGCCAUCUAUCUACAAACAACAUAGACAAGCAAGAUACUAUCAGGUACUAAGUUCAUGAUAAAUUUAAGUUCAACUUAAUCAUAUUAUUUAAGAACUCCCACUUAGAUAGACAUCCCUCUAAUCCUCUAAGUGAUCACGUGAUCCAUAUCAACUAAACCAUGUCCGAUCAUCACGUGAGAUGGAGUAGUAUCAACGGUGAACAUCACUAUGUUGAUCAUAUCUACUAUAUGAUUCAUGCUCGACCUUUCGGUCUCCGUGUUCUGAGGCCAUAUCUUUUAUAUGCUAGGCUCGUCAAGUUUAACCUGAGUAUUCCGCGUGUGCAACUGUUUUGCACCCGUUGUAUUUGAACGUAGAGCCUAUCACACCCGAUCAUCACGUGGUGUCUCAGCACGAAGAACUUUCACAAUAGUGCAUACUCAGGGAGAACACUUAUACUUUGAUAAUUUAGUGAGGGAUCGUCUUAUAAUGCUACCAUCAAUCAAAGCAAGAUAAGACGCAUAAAAGAUAAACAUCACAUGCAAUCAAUAUAAGUGACAUGAUAUGGCCAUCAUCAUCUUGUGCUUGUGAUCUUCAUCUCCUAAGCACCUUCAUGAUCACCAUCGUCACCGGCGCGACACAUUGAUCUCCAUCGUAGCAUCGUUGUCGUCUCGCCAAUCUUAUGCUUCCACAACUAUCGCUACCGCUUAGUGAUAAAGUAAAGCAUUAUAGGGCGAUUGCAUUGCAGACAAUAAAGCAACAACCAUAUGGCUCCUGCCAGUUGCCGAUAACUCGGUUACAAAACAUGAUCAUCUCAUACAAUAAAAUUUAGCAUCAUGUCUUGACCAUAUCACAUCACAACAUGCCCUACAAAAACAAGUUAGACAUCCUCUACUUUGUUGUUGCAAAUUUUACGUGGCUGCUACGGGCUUAGCAAGAACCGUUCUUACCUACGCAUCAAAACCACAAUGAUAGUUUGUCAAGUUGGUGUUGUUUUAACUUCGCAAGGACCGGGCGUAGCCACACUCGGUUCAAUUAAAGUUUGGAGAAACUGACACCCGCCAGCCACCUAUGUGCAAAGCACGUCGGUAGAACCAGUCUCGCGCAAGCGUACGCGUAAUGUCGGUCUGGGCCGCUUCAUCCAACAAUACCGCCGAACCAAAGUAUGACAUGAUGGUAAGCAGUAUGACUUAUAUCGCCCACAACUCACUUGUGUUCUACUCGUGCAUAUGACAUCUACGCAUAAAACCUGGCUCGGAUGCCACUGUUGGGGAAUGUAGUAAUUUCAAAUUUUCCUACGCACACGCAAGAUCAUGGUGAUGCAUAGCAACGAGAGGGGAGAGUGUUUUCUACGUACCCUCGUAGACCGUCCGCGGAAGCAUUAUAUCAACGCGGUUGAUGUAGUCGUACAUCUUCACGAUCCGACCGAUCCAAGUACCGAAAGCACGGCACCUCCGAGUUCUGCACACGUUCGGCUCGGUGAUGUCCUCGCCUUCUCGAUCCAGCAAGAGGGGCAAAGUAGUAGAUGAGUUCCGGAAGCACGACGGCGUGGUGACGGUGUUGGUGAAGAACAAUCUCCGCAAGGCUUCGCCUAAGCACUACGAAAACUAGGACGGAGGAUAAACUAGAGGGGACGGGGUUGCCGGCACACGGCUUGGUGUUUCUUGAUGUGUCUUGGGUGCUAGCCCUACCCCUCUAUUUAUAUGUUGAGCCUUGGGCUCGAAACUUGGAGUAAAAGCCUCCACAAAGUCGGUUUCACCUGAAAGGCAAGAGUACUUCUCGGACUCCAGGGCCAGACGCCAGGGUUCCUGGCGUCUGGACCCAGACGCCAGGGACCCUGGCGUCUGGCCCCUGGACUCCGCAAAACUUCCUUUUGCGCUUUCCAAAAACCUUGUGGGCUUUCCCCUUUGGCCCAAAUAAAGUGUUCUCAUACCCAAACAUUUCAAGAAACAUCUGGAACCCAUUCCGGUGAAUUCCGGAACCCUUCCGGUGACCAAACACUACUAUCCCAUAUAUCAAACUUUAUCUCCGGACCAUUCCGGAGUUCCUCGUCAUGUCCGUGAUCUCAUCCCGGACUCCGAACAACAUUCGGUCACCAACAUACAUAACUCAUAUAGUACUAUAUCGUCAAUGAAUGUUAAGCGUGCGGACCCUACGGGUUCAAGAACUAUGUAGACAUGACCGAGACACCUCUCUGGUCAAUAACCAAUAGCAGGACCUGGAUGCCCAUAUUGGCUCCUACAUAUUCUACGAAGAUCUUUAUCGGUCAGACCGCAUAACAACAUACGUUCUUCCCUUUGUCAUCGGUAUGUUACUUGCCCGAGAUUCGAUCGUCGGUAUCUCAAUAGCUAGUUCAAUCUCGUUACCGGCAAGUCUCUUUACUCAUUCCGUAAUACAUCAUCCCGCAACUAACUCAUUAGUUGCAAUGCUUGCAAGGCUUAUAGUGAUGUGCAUUACCGAGUGGGCCCAGAGAUACCUCUCCGACAAUCGGAGUGACAAAUCCUAAUCUCGAAAUAUGCCAGCCCAACAAGUACCUUUGGAGACACCUGUAGAGCACCUUUAUAAUCACCCAGUUACGUUGUGACGUUUGGUGGCACACAAAGUGUUCCUCCGGUAAAUGGUAGUUGCAUAAUCUCAUAGUCAUAGAAACAUGAGUCAUGAAGAAAGCAAUAGCAACAAACUAAACGAUCAAGUGCUAAGCUAACGGAAUGGGUCAAGUCAAUCACAUCAUUCUCAUAAUGAUGUGAUCCCGUUAAUCAAAUGACAACUCAUGUCUAUGGUUAGGAAACUUAACCAUCUUUGAUCAACGAGCUAGUCAAGUAGAGGCAUACUAGUGACACUCUGUUUGUCUAUGUAUUCACACAUGUAUUAUGUUUCCGGCUAAUACAAUUCUAGCAUGAAUAAUAAACAUUUAUCAUGAAAUAAGGAAAUAAAUAAUAACUUUAUUAUUGCCUCUAGGGCAUAUUUCCUUCACUAUCUACUCCCACCGGCAUAACCCUCAUUGGAAGGUAGGGUCAUGCAUAAUGCAAGUAUCAACAAGGAAGUAAUAGAGGCAACCCAUCAAGGUGGUUACCACCUCAUCAUGAUUCCGUUGCAACAACAAUAUGGUGCUAUAUGACAUGCAUACAAAGGCUUUCUUAGACAUGGUCAAAGGGCUGCUUGCCUGGUUCAUCAGAGUCUUCAAGUCUUCUGGUUCAUCUUCGAGUAUUUCGUCUACUUCGUCAACUAAUGUCGGAAACAAUCAUAGUAAGCAACACAACAAGGCAGAAAAUAAAAUUGCUCCAAAAAUAUUAAUUUGACUUUUCAAGGACAUCUGUGGUUAUAUGAAAAAUAACCAGAGUGGUUUCAUUGGGAUUGGGUCAGUGGAUAUUCCUGAACAUUUCAAUUUGAUGGAAUCAAGGGAUUUGUGAAUUUGCAAGAAGUGUACAGAAUUAUUAUUUUGAAAAAUGAGCAAAGGCACCCAUUGAGCAAAGAAUGAUUUUAGAAGCAUCUAGGAUUUGGUUUCACUGGAUUUGGAGUCAAAAUGAUUUUCCUAUGAAUUUGCAAAGUUGACAAAUAUGAAGAAAUGGCUCAUUAUUUUGUGUGGUACAGAAAGUAUUAAGAAAAAUGUUCAUAAACUAAGUUAUGAACUUAGAAGCAUCUAGGAAUUUGAAUCAUGGCAUUUGGAUCAAUUUUGAGCUCUCUGUGAUUUUCUAAAGUUCAUCACAGAAAUAGGAAAAAUAGGGUUUUUCGAAAUAUGCGUGAAGAAAAGUUUCCUGGAAAAAUGUGCAAACAACACCAUGUGAUAGAUCAUGAAUUUAUGAACUACUAAAAAUUUGAAUCAUCAAAUUUGGAGCUCUAUUGAAUUAUUUAUGGAUUUUUGAAGUUGACUGGAAAAAGAAAAAGGAAAUAAGGCUUUAACCUUAUCCUGCGCACGGGGCGACAGAUAGACCGUGGAUCGGUGAAAGGACAUGCGGUGCCCCCAUGUGUGGUUUUGGUAAUUGAUGACAAUCUCUAUGGACUGCCUUGAGUUAUAUUUGCAGGAUUUGUCCAUAGGAUUGUCUUGAAGUCCAUGUGUUGGUUUCAAGGAGUUUAUGAGAUGGCCAAAGUGCUUUUCAAGGAAUUAUCCAAAGAUUAGUCAUGUGUGAGUUGAGAUGGCCAAAGUGCUUUUCAAGGAAUUAUCCAAAGAUUAGUCAUGUGUGAGUUGAGCUUAUUGCAAGCAUGUCUUGAAGAAGAAGAUUGUGUGAUCAUUCAUGUUUACCUUCAAGACAUCAUCCAAAUGAAGAGAGUUGGAAAGAUUCAAUGUUGAUCAAGACUAAAUCAAGAGUGAAUCAAGUUGAUCAACUCACAAAGCGUAGAAGAAGUACCGAGAGGGAUCAAGUGAUCCCAUGGUAUGGUAAGCAUUGUCCAUUAUGCUUUGUGUACUAACCCAUGGUCUACGUGAGAGUUCUUUGUGGGGUUAGGUAUGUUUCCAUGGUCUUGCAUCAAGAGGAAGAUCUCAUACAACCCAUGGAGGAUGACAUCAAGUGGUGAUCGUCAUCAAGUUUGCAGUGUGCAAGUUCAAGUGGAGCAACUCAAAGAGUGGCUCACCCAUAAUGGAGUAUGGGGGAGCAAUCAAGCUUGAAGCUUGCCGUCCAUUGUGGUGUCAAUGGAAUUGUGAAGAUGUGCCAAAGAGUGGCUCACCCAUAGUGGAGUAUGGGGGAGCAAUCAACUAGUCUUCGUCGAGCCAACACAAUCAAGAAAGGUGGUCCAAUUUGAGGAAGUCAAGAUCGUCAUCAUCUAGAUCAAGUGGACUAUGUUCAAGGCAAAGGUUUUCCCUUGAUAGGUUUUCUAUUUUACCGGUCUCAUAGUGGUAGUUGGGAGAUCGGGUUGUAGGAUCGAUUGUCGUACUAUCAAGGGGGGCUCUCUAGGGUGUAGCUUGAUCAUAUCAUUCGUCGAGAGCUCAAACCAUUGCAUCCUUGCAUCAUCUUUCUUGGUUCUUGUUUGGUUCCAUUUGUGAGUCUUAGAGCUUAUGGUCAUCUUGAUGACAAGCUUGAGUUCAUCGAAAACGGAGUUCGCAUGCAUCUUCCAUGAUGUUUUCGGUGUUGGAGGUUUUACCGGUCUUAUCCGAGGAAGGGUUCUCACCUUUUUCUUAUGGGCCUUUUAUUAUUUGCUUCUUAUUGUUUUUUCUAUCAAUAUUGCGUUAGCCCUUGUCGCUAACUUUCCAACAAACUUGAUUUCGUCGAAUUCGAAGCUCGUAUGCGAAAGUUGUGGCUGUUUUGAUAUUGCAUGUUUUACAGAGAGAGGUUGUACCGACCCAUGGAGAGGUUGUACCGCUUGACCGGUACAACCGGUGUUUGGAGCAGUUGUACCACUCCAGAAUUGGUCCGGAGGUUGUACCGGUCAUGUACCGCUCUACCACCGGACUGGUCUCUGUUGUGGUGCAGUUGUUGGGCGGUUGUGAGCCGGUUGUACCGGUUAUUGCCUGUUACCGGUUGUACCGGUGCUCCUAGAGGUUGUACCGCUCCUAUGUUAUUCUGUACAUAACGGGCAGAUUCAUGGGGACCUAUUUAAGGGGGUCUUCUUCCCCAAUGGUUCCCUAUCUCUUGAGCUCAUUUUUGCCCCCAUUGUUGACCUUCUUUGAGCUUGCUAACUCUCAAUCCCUCCAUGGAUUCUUGCUAGUUUUUGAGGGAAAAGAGAGAGGAGAUCUAGAUCCACAUUUCCACCAAUCACUUUCUCCUCUAUGUGAGGGGAACCCCUUGGAUCUAGAUCUUGGAGUUCUUGGUGUUCUCCUUCUUGUUCUUCCUCUCAUUUUCCUCCCCAGCAUUAGUUGCUUUGGUGGGAUUUGGGAGAGAAGGACUUGGGCACUUCGUGUUCCCUUGCCAUUGCAUUUGGUGCAUCGGUUUGAGUUCUCCACGGUGAUACGUGGAAGUGAAGUUUGAGAAGCUUAUUACUCUUGGGUGUUUGGGCACCCUAGAGCUUGUUCCUCUUGGGUGCCUUGGCGCCCUAGACGGUUGGUGUUGUUCGGAGCUCAAUCAUUAUGGUGUAAAGCUCCGGGUAAGCGUCGGGGUCUCCAAUUAGGUUGUGGAGAUCGCCUCAAGCAAUUUGACGGGUACCGGUGACCUCCCCCAAGGGUUGCCAAAGUGUACGGGUUCAGUGAACGCCCCCAAGGGUUGCCAUUUGUACGGGUUCAGUGACCGCCCUCAAGGGUCCCUUAGUGGAAUCACGACAUCUUGCAUUGUGCGAGGGCGUGAGGAGAUUACGGUGGCCCUAGUGGCUUCUUGGGGAGCAUUGUGCCUUCACACCGCUCCAAACGGAGAUUAGCAUCCGCAAGGGUGUGAACUUCGGGAUACAUCAUCGUCUCCGCGUGCCUCGGUUAUCUCUUACCCGAGCUCUUUACUUAUGCACUUUACUUUGUGAUAGCCAUAUUGUUUCUUGUCAUAUAUCUUUGAAGGAAAUAUGCCCAAGAGGCAAUAAUAAAGUUAUUAUUUAUUUCCUUAUAUCAUGAUAAAUGUUUAUUAUUCAUGCUAGAAUUGUAUUAACCGGAAACAUAAUACAUGUGUGGAUACAUAGACAAACAGAGUGUCACUAGUAUGCCUCUACUUGACUAGCUCGUUGAUCAAAGAUGGUUAUGUUUCCUAAUCAUAGACAUGAGUUGUCAUUUGAUUAACGGGAUCACAUCAUUAGGAGAAUGAUGUGAUUGACUUGACCCAUUUCGUUAGCUUAGCACUUGAUCGUUUAGUUUGUUGCUAUUGCAUUCGUCGUGACUUAUACAUGUUCCUAUGACUAUGAGAUUAUGCAACUCCCGUUUACUGGAGGAACACUUUGUGUGCUACCAAACGUCACAAUGUAACUGGGUAAUUAUAAAGGUGCUCUACAGGUGUCUCCGAAGGUACUUGUUGGGUUGGCAUAUUUCGAGAUUAGGAUUUGUCACUCUGAUUGUCGGAGAGGUAUCUCUGGGCCCUCUCGGUAAUGCACAUCACAUAAAGCCUUGCAAGCACUGCAACUAAUAAGUUAGUUGCGGGAUGAUGUAUUAUGGAACGAGUAAAGAGACUUGCCGGCAAUGACAUUGAACUAGGUAUUGAGUUACCGACGAUCAAAUCUCGGGCAAGUAACAUGCCGAUGACAAAGGGAACAACGUAUGUUGUUAUGCGGUCUGACCGAUAAAGAUCUUUGUAGAAUAUGUAGGAGCCAAUAUGAGCAUCCAGGUUCCGCUAUUGGCUAUUGACCGGAGACGUGUCUCGAUCAUGUCUACAUAGUUCUCGAACCCGUAGGGUCCGCACGCUUAACAUUACGGUGACAGUUUCAUUAUGAGUUUAUAUAUUUUGAUGUACCGAAGGUUGUUCGGAGUCCCGGAUGUGAUCACGGACAUGACGAGGAGUCUCGAAAUGGUCGAGACAUAAAGAUCGAUAUAUUGGACGGCUAUAUUCGGACACCGAAAGUGUUUCGGGUGAUUUCGGAGAAAACCGGAAUGCCGGAGGGUUACNNNNNNNNNNNNNNNNNNNNNNNNNNNNNNNNNNNNNNNNNNNNNNNNNNNNNNNNNNNNNNNNNNNNNNNNNNNNNNNNNNNNNNNNNNNNNNNNNNNNNNNNNNNNNNNNNNNNNNNNNNNNNNNNNNNNNNNNNNNNNNNNNNNNNNNNNNNNNNNNNNNNNNNNNNNNNNNNNNNNNNNNNNNNNNNNNNNNNNNNNNNNNNNNNNNNNNNNNNNNNNNNNNNNNNNNNNNNNNNNNNNNNNNNNNNNNNNNNNNNNNNNNNNNNNNNNNNNNNNNNNNNNNNNNNNAGAGGGGCUGCCAGGAUGGGCCGCGCGCCCCCUCCCCCUCUGGUCCGAAUUGGACUAGGAGAGGGGGGGCGGCGCCCCCCUUUCCUUCUCCCUCUCCCCCUUCCUUUCCCCCUCCUAGUAGGAGUAGGAAAGAAGGGAGUCCUACUCCUACUAGGAGGAGGACUCCUCCUCCUGGCGCGCCUUGCAAGGGCCGGCCGGCCUCCCCCCUUGCUCCUUUAUAUAUGGGGGCAGGGGGCACCUCUAGACACAUAAGUUGAUCUUCAUGAUCGUUCUCUUAGCCGUGUGCGGUGCCCCCCCUCCACCAUAAUCCUCUAUAAUAUUGUAGCGGUGCUUAGGCGAAGCCCUGCGACGGUAGAACAUCAAGAUCAUCAUCACGCCGUCGUGCUGACGGAACUCUUCCCCGACACUUUGCUGGAUCAGAGUCCGGGGAUCGUCAUCGAGCUGAACGUGUGCUAGAACUCGGAGGUGCCGUAGUUUCGGUGCUUGAUCAGUCGGGCCGUGAAGACGUACGACUACAUCAACCGCGUGUGCUAACGCUUCCACUUCCGGUCUACGAGGGUACAUAGACAACACUCUCCCCUCUCGUUGCUAUGCAUCACCAUGAUCUUGUGUGUGCGUAGGAAAUUUUUUGGAAUUACUAUGUUCCCCAACAGUGGUAUCAGAGCCAGGUUUUAUGCGUUGAUGUUAUGCACGAGUAGAACACAAGUGAGUUGUGGGUGAUAUAAGUCAUACUGCUUACCAGCAUGUAAUACUUUGGUUCGUCGGUAUUGUUGGAUGAAGCGGCCCGGACCGACAUUACGCGUACGCUUACGCGAGACUGGUUUUACCGCCGUGCUAUGCACACAGGUGACUAGCGGGUGUCAGUUUCUCCAACUUUAGUUGAACCGAGUGUGGCUACGCCUAGUCCUUGCGAAGGUUAAAACAACACCAACUUGACAAACUAUCGUUGUGGUUUUGAUGCGUAGGUAAGAACGGUUCUUGCUAAGCCCGUAGCAGCCACGUAAAACUUGCAACAACAAAGUAGAUGAUGUCUAACUUGUUUUUGCAGGACAUGUUGUGAUGUGAUAUGGUCAAGACGUGAUGAGAUAUAAGUUGUUGUAUAAGAUGAUCAUGUUUUGUUGAAGUUAUUGGCAACUGGCAGAAGCCUUAUGGUUGUCUCUUUAUUGCAUAAGAUGCAAGCGCCAAAUAAUUGCUUUACAAUUAUCGCUAUGCGAUAGCAAUAGUUGCAAGAGCAAUAAUUGGCGAGACGACCAUGUGACAACACAUUGAUAUAGAUCAAGAUGAUGGAGAUCAUGGUGUCACGCCGGUGACGAUGGUGAUCAUGACGGUACUUCGGAGAUGCAGAUCACAAGUACAAGAUGAUGAUGGCCAUAUCAUAUCACUUAUAUUGAUUGCAUGUGAUGUUUAUCUUUUAUGCAUCUUAUCUUGCUUUGAUUGAUGGUAGCAUUAUAAGAUGAUCCCUCACUAAAUUAUCAAAGUAUAAGUGUUCUCCCUGAGUAUGCACCAUUGUGAAAGUUCUUCGUGCUGAGACACCACGUGAUGAUCGGGUGUGAUAGGAUCUACGUUCAAAUACAAGGGUGCAAAACAGUUGCACACGUGGAAUACUUAGGUUAAACUUGACGAGCCUAGCAUAUAACAGAUAUGGCCUCGGAACACGGAGACCGAAAGGUCGAGCGUGAAUCAUAUAGUAGAUAUGAUCAACAUAGUGAUGUUCACCAUUGAAACUACUCCAUCUCACGUGAUGAUCGAACAUGGUUUAGUUGAUUUGUAUCACGUGAUCACUUAGAGGAUUAGAGGGAUGUCUAUCUAAGUGGGAGUUCUUAAGUAAUAUGAUUAAUUGAACUUUAAUUUAUCAUGAACUUAGUCCUGGUAGUAUUAGCAUAUCUAUGUUGUAGAUCAAUAGCUCGCAAUGUUGCUCCCCGUUUAAUUUUUUGAUACGUUCCUAGAGAAAACUAAGUUGAAAGAUGUUAGUAGCAAUGAUGCGGAUUGGAUCCGUGAUCUGAGGUUUAUCCUCAUUGCUGCACAGAAGAAUUAUGUCUUUGAUGCACCGCUAGGUGACAAACCUAUUGCAGGAGUAGAUGCAGAUGUUAUGAACAUUUGGCUAGCUCAAUAUGAUGACUACUUGAUAGUUUAGUGCACCAUGCUUAAACGACUUAGAAUCGGGACUUCAAAGACGUUUUGAACGUCAUGGACCAUAUGAGAUGUUCCAGGAGUUGAAGUUAAUAUUUCAAGCAAAUACCCGAGUUUAGAGAUAUGAAGUCUCCAACAAGUUCUAUAGCUAAAAGAUGGAGGAGAAUAGCUCAAGCAGUGAGCAUGUGCUCAGAUUGUCUGGGUACUACAAUCACUUGAAUCAAGUGGGAGUUAAUCUUCCAGAUAAAAUAGUGAUUGAUAGAAUUAUCUAGUCACCAUCACCAAGUUAGUAGAACUUUGUGAUGAACUAUGAUAUCCAAGGGAUAACGGAAACGAUUCCCAAGCUCUUCGUAAUGCUGAAAUCGACGAAGGUAGAAAUCAAGAAAAAUAUCAAGUGUUGAUGGUAGACAAGACCACUAGUUUCAAGAAAAGGGCAAAGGGGAGAAAGGGAACUUCAAGAAGAACGGCAAUCAAGUUGCUGCUCAAGUGAAGAAGCCCAAGUCUGGACCUAAGCCUGAGACUAAGUGCUUCUACUGCAAAGGGACUGGUCACUGGAAGCGGAACUACCCCAAGUAAUUGGCGGAUAAGAAGGAUGGCAAAGUGAACAAAGGUAUAUUUGAUAUACAGAUUAUUGAUGUGUAUUUUACAAGUGUUCAUAGCAACCCCUCGGUAUUUGAUACUGGUUCAGUUGCUAAGAGUAGUAGCUCGAAAGGGAGUUGUAGAAUGAACAGAGACUAGUUAAGGGUGAAGUGACGAUGUGUGUUGGAAGUGGUUCCAAGAUUGAUAUGAUCAUCAUCGCACACUCCCUAUACUUUCGGGAUUAGUGUUGAACCUAAAUAAGUGUUAUUUGGUGUUUGCGUUGAGCAUGAAUAUGAUUUGAUCAUGUUUAUUGCAAUACGGUUAUUCAUUUAAGUAAGAGAAUAAAUUGUUGUUCUGUUUACAUAUAUGGUUACACACCCAAUGAAAAUGGUUUGUUGGAUCUCAAUCGUAGUACAUAUUCAUAAUAUUGAAACCAAAAGAUGCAAAGUUAAUAAUGAUAGUGCAACUUAUUUGUGGCACUGUCGUUUAGGUCAUAUUGGUGUAAAGCGCAUGAAGAAAAUCCAUGUUGAUGUGCUUUUGGAAUCACUUGAUUAUGAAUCAGUUGAUGCUUUCGAACCAUGCCUCACGGGCAAGAUGACUAAGACUCCGUUCUCCGGAACAAUGGAGCAAGCAACAGAUUUGUUGGAAAUCAUACAUACUAAUGUAUGUGGUCCGAUGAAUAUUGAGGCUCGCGGUAGGUAUCAUUAUUUUCUGAUCUUCACAGAUAAUUUGAGCAGAUAUGAGUAUAUCUACUUGAUGAAACACAAGUCUGAAAUAUUUGAAAAGUUCAAAGAAUUUCAGAGUGAAGUGGAGAAUCAUCGUAACAAAAAUAAAAGUUUCUACGAUAUGAUCGCAGAAGUAAAAUAUUUGAGUUACGAGUUUGGCCUUCAGUUAAAACAAUGUGAAAUAGUUUCACUACUCACGCCACCUGGAACACCACAGUGUAAUGGUGUGUCUGAACGUCGUAAUCAUACUUUACUUGAUAUGGUGCGAACUAUGAUGUCUCUUACAGAUUUACCACUAUCGUUUUGGGGUUAUGCAUUAGAGACAGCUGCAGUCACGUUAAAAAGGGAACCAUCUAAAUCCGUUGAGGCGACACCGUAUGAACUGUGGUUUGGCAAGAAACCAAAGUUGUCGUUUCUUAAAGUUUGAGGUUGCAAUGCUUAUGUGAAAAAGUUUCAACCUGAUAAGCUCUAACCCAAAUCGGAGAAGUGUGUCUUCAUAGGAUACCCAAAAGAAAAUGUUGGGUACACCUUCUAUCACAGAUCCGAAGGCAAUAUUUUUGUUGCUUUGAAUGGAUCCUUUCUAGAAAAGGAGUUUCUCUCGAAAGAAGUGAGUGGGAGGAAAGUAGAACUUGAUGAGGUAACUGUACCUGCUCCCUUAUUGGAAAGUAGUUCAUCACAGAAAUCUGUUCCUAUGACUACUACACCGAUUAGUGAGGAAGCUAAUGAUGAUGAUCAUGUAACUUUAGAUCAAGUUACUACCGAACCUCGUAUGUAAACCAGAGUGAGAUCCGCACCAGAGUGGUACGGUAAUCCUAUUCUGGAGGUCAUGUUACUUGACCAUGACGAGCCUACGAACUAUGAGGAAGCGAUGAUGAGCCCAGAUUCCGCGAAAUGGCUUGAGGCCAUGAAAUCUGAGAUGAGAUCCAUGUAUGAGAACAAAGUAUGGACUUUGAUUGACUUGCCCAUUGAUCGGAGAGCCAUUGAGAUUAAAUGGAUCUUCAAGAGGAAGACGAACGCUGAUAGUAGUGUUACUAUCUACAAAGCUAGAAUUGUUGCAAAAAGGUUUUCGACAAGUUCAAGGUGUUGACUACGAUGAGAGUUUCUCACUCGUAUCUAUGCUUAAGUCUGUCUGAAUCAUGUUAGCAAUUGCCGCAUUUUAUGAAAUCUGGCAAGUGGAUAAACAGAAUUGCAUUCCUUAAUAAAUUAAUUAAAGAAGAGUUGUAUAUGAUGCAACAAGAAAGUUUUGUCAAUCCUAAAGGUGCUAACAAAAUAUGCAAGCUCCAGCGAUCCAUCUUUGGACUGGUGCAAGCAUCUCGGAGUUGGAAUAUACGCUUUGAUAAGUUGAUCAAAGCAUAUAGUUUUAUACAGACUUGCAGUGAAGCCUGUAUUUACAAGAAAGUGAGUGGGAGCACUACAGCAUUUCUGAUAAGUAUAUGUGAAUAACAUAUUGUUGAUCAGGGAUAAUGUAGAAUUAUUCUGCAAAGCAUAAAGGAGUGUUUGAAAGGAGUUUUUCAAAGAAAGACCUCGGUGAAGCUGCUUACAUAAUGAGCAUCAAGAUCUAUAGAGAUAGAGCAAGACACUUGAUAAGUUUUUCAAUGAGUGCAUACCUUGACAAGAUUUUGAAGUAGUUCAAAAUGGAACGGUCAAAGAAAGAGUUCUUGCCUGUGUUACAAGGUGUGAAGUUGAGUAAGACUCAAAACUCGACCACGGCAGAAGAUAGAGAGAGAAUGAAAGUCAUUCCCUAUGCCUUGGCCAUAGGUUCUAUAAAAUAUGCCAUGCUGUGUACCAGAUCUAUUGUAUACCCUACAUUGUUUUUGGCAAGGGAGUACAAUAGUGAUCUAGGAGUAGAUCACUGGACAGCGGUCAAAUUAUCCUUAGUGAAAUAAGGAUAUGUUUCUCGAUUAUGGAGGUGACAAAAAGGUUCGUCGUAAAGGGUUACGUCGAUACAAGUUUUGACACUGAUCCAGAUGACUCAAAGUCUCAAUCUGGAUACAUAUUGAAAGUGGGAGCGAUUAGCUAGAGUAGCUCCGUGUAGAGCAUUGUUGACAUAGAAAUUUGCAAAAUACAUACGGAUCUGAAUAUGGCAGACCCGUUGACUAAACUUCCCUCACAAGCAAAACAUGAUCACACCUUAGUACUCUUUGGGUAUUAAUCACAUAACAAUGUGAACUAGAUUAUUGACUCUAGUAAACCCUUUGGGUGUUAAUCACAUGGUGAUGUGAACUGUUGAUGUUAAAUCACAUGGCGAUGUGAACUAGAUUAUUGACUCUAGUGCAAGUGGGAGACUGAAGGAAAUAUGACCUAGAGGCAAUAAUAAAGUUAUUAUUUAUUUCCUUAUAUCAUGAUAAAUGUUUAUUACUCAUGCUAGAAUUGUAUUAACCGGAAACAUAAUACAUGUGUGGAUACAUAGACAAAUAGAGUGUCACUAGUAUGCCUCUACUUGACUAGCUCGUUGAUCAAAGAUGGUUAUGUUUCCUAAUCAUAGACAUGAGUUGUCAUUUUAUUAACGGGUUCACAUCAUUAGGAGAAUGAUGUGAUUGACUUGACCCAUUUCGUUAGCUUAGCACUUGAUCGUUUAGUUUGUUGCUAUUGCUUUCUUCAUGACUUAUACAUGUCCCUAUGACUAUGAGAGUAUGCAACUCCCGUUUACCGGAGAAACACUUUGUGUGCUACCAAACAUCACAACGUAAGUGGGUGAUUAUAAAGGUGCUCUACAGGUGUCUCCAAAGGUACUUGUUGGGUUGGCGUAUUUCGAGAUUAGGAUUUGUCACUCCGAUUGUCGGAGAGGUAUCUCUGGGCCCUCUCGGUAAUGCACAUCACAUAAAGCCUUGCAAGCAUUGCAACUAAUAAGUUAGUUGUGGGAUGAUGUAUUAUGGAAUGAGUAAAGAGACUUGCCGGCAACGAGAUUGAACUAUGUAUUGAGAUACCGAUGAUCAAAUCUCGGGCAAGUAACAUACCGAUGACAAAGGGAACAACGUAUGUUGUUAUGCGGUCUGACCGAUAAAGAUCUUCGUAGAAUAUGUAGGAGCCAAUAUGAGCAUCCAGGUUCCGCUAUUGGCUAUUGACCGGAGACGUGUCUCGGUCAUGUCUACAUAGUUCUCGAACCCGUAGGGUCCGCACGCUUAACAUUACGAUGAAAGUUUCAUUAUGAGUUUAUAUAUUUUGAUGUACCGAAGGUUGUUCGGAGUCCCGGAUGUGAUCACGGACAUGACGAGGAGUCUCAAAAUGGCCGAUACAUGAAGAUCAAUAUAUUGUACGGCUAUAUUCGGACAUCGAAAGUGUUUCGGGUGAUUUCGGAGAAAACCAGAGUGACGGAGGGUUACCGGACCCCCCCGGGAGAAGUAAUGGGCCUUAUGGACCUUAGUGGAGAGAGAGGGGCUGCCAGGAUGGGCCGCGCGCCCCCUCCCCCUCUGGUCCAAAUUGGACUAGGAGAGGGGGGGCGGCGCCCCCCUUUCCUUCUCCCUCUCCCCCUUCCUUUCCCCCUCCUAGUAGGAGUAGGAAAGAAGGGAGUCCUACUUCUACUAGGAGGAGGACUCUCCUCCUGGCGCGCCUUGCAAGGGCCGGCCGGCCUCCCCCCUUGCUCCUUUAUAUACGGGGGCAGGGGGCACCUCUAGACACAUAAGUUGAUCUUCGUGAUCGUUCUCUUAGCCGUGUGCGGUGCCCCCCUCCACCAUAAUCCUCGAUAAUAUUGUAGCGGUGCUUAGGCGAAGCCCUGCGACGGUAGAACAUCAAGAUCGUCACCAUGCCAUCAUGCUGACGGAAAUCUUCCCCGACACUUUGCUGGAUCAGAGUCCGGGGAUCGUCAUCGAGCUGAACGUGUGCUAGAAUUCGGAGGUGCCGUAGUUUCGGUGCUUGAUCGGUCGGGCCGUGAAGACGUACGACUACAUCAACCGCAUUGUGCUAACGCUUCCGCUUCUGGUCUACGAGGGUACGUAGACAACACUCUCCCCUCUCGUUGCUAUGCAUCACCAUGAUCUUGCGUGUGCGUAGGAAAUUUUUUGAAAUUACUACGUUCCCCAACAAUCUUGCUAUCACAUAGUUGAUAUCUUGCUUAGCAUAAGUUGUUGGUGCACAUAGGUGAGCCUAGUUGUUUUAGGUUUUGUGCUUGACAAAUUAACCGCUAGGUUUAUUCCGCAUUUGUUCAAGCCUAAAUCGUAAUUAUUUUAAUAGGCCUAUUCACCCCCCCCCUCUAGGCGACAUCCACGAUCUUUCAAUUGGUAUCAGAGCCUCGUCUCUCUUUAUAGGGCUUAACCGCCUAGAGAGUAAUGAUGUCGACUAGGGGAUUAGGAUUCUCUGACACUCUUAGUUUCGAUGGCACAAAUUUUGAUGUUUGGGUAAUUCGCAUGCUUAAUCUCUUUAGGGUCAUGGACCCAAAUUUAGAGCGAAUUGUAGAUAUGGGUUUUUCUCCUCCAAAGGAUCCCCAAAUAUUAUCUUUAGAGGAUGAGAAAAACUCUUAUCUCGAUGCUCAAGCUUCUAAUGUGCUUUUCAAUGCUUUGAGCAAUGUAGUUAUAUUUCAACUCAUGCCGUCCCGAGAUGCUCAUGAGUUGUGGACAAAGCUUCAAGAUAAAUAUGGCGUGUCUAAGUUUUGUGGGGAUGAUUGUUCUCCCUCCACAUCGGCCAUGUUGCCUUCUCAACUUCUUCUACUUUGCCUACAUGUGGAUUUCCACAAGGUAAUGCUAUGGUGAGUAGUGUUGGUCAUUGCAAUGAUGAUAGUGUGCUUAUCGUUGAUGACUCUUCUUCACUAGCUUGUUGCAAUGCUCCAUCUUUGGACUUUAGCACUUCGAAUGUCUCACAUGCUUGUGUUGAUAGUCCUUGCAUAUCAUGUAGAAAUUUCUUGACUAAAUCUCAUGAUGAUAUGCUUGCUAUGCCUUGUUGCCAUGAUAGAAAUGUAUCUAUUUCCUCGAGUUGUUGUGCUAACAAUGUAGAGGAAACCCAACACUCCAUGGAACAAGAUGUGGUCUUGAACGGUGCUUCAAGAGAUCCUGCAUCACCAUCGACCGCUUUUUGCCUUAUGGCUAAGGCUUCAAAGGUAUCUCCCACUUUGAAUCCCAAUAUAUCUUGUGAUGAUAUUGAUGAUGUCAAGAAUGAUGAUGAUGUUGAUUAUGAUGAAGAGAAUGAUAAUGUUGCCUCCUUAAAAAUUAAGGGGGAAAUGGUUUUUAAAGCUCUUCAUAAAAAUAAAAUUGCUUGUUCCAACUUCAUGGAAAUUAUGUCCAUUGCCAUUCAGGGCAAGAAAUAUAUUGAGGAGUUGGAAUCUCGUCUCGAGGAGCAUGAGGUCACCAUUGAGAAAAUGGAAGGUCAUGAGCGUGAUUACGCUAAUGAGAUUGCGGACCUCUCUCAAGCUCUUGAACUUGAACAAACCACCAAGGAAUCUCUUGAGGAGACUUUUGCUCUAGAAUUAUCUAGAGUGAGGGAAUCUCGUGAUAGAGCUCUUGAGGUGGCCAAUGAUUUUGAAACUAAAAAUGAGGAGCUUGAAGUUGUGCAUGCUAAACUCCUUGAGGACUUUGAGCACCUCGAAAAUGGCUCAAGGGUCAUUUAAGAGUGAGCUCGUCAAACUCACCGAGUCUCAUGCUCAACUUAAAGCUUCAUAUUCAAAAGGGCUUGCCAAGUUGUCUUCUCCUCUUGUUGCUAAUGAUUAUGCUUGUGCUACUAACUCUAUCUCUUGUGAAGCAUCCAUAUUAAAGGAGAAUGUUGAGCUAAGGGCUCAACUUGAGUUGCUAUCUAACAACCGUGGGAUGUUGGAAGAAAAUCAUGUAAAGCUCAAAAGCUCUCAUGAUGAUCUUCUAGUAUCCCAUAAUGUGCUAAAGAUAGCUCAUGAGGCCAUGCUUGCUAAGGUAACAUCUAGUGAGCCUCAUGUGGAUACUAGCACUACUUUCGGUCAAAAUGCUAUAUUGCCUUGUGCUAGUCCUCGCAAUUCAUCCAUGCAUAACAUUGGUACAUCUUGUGAUGAAUUGCUUUCUUGCCUUGUUGCUCUAAUGAUUAAGCUUAUACUUCCUCUAGUACUUGUGUUGAGACUAACCAUGUAGAGGAAAUCAAAGAGCUCAAGGCCCAAGUCACUUCUUUGAAGAAAGACCUGGAAAAGAGUCGUGAAGGGAAAUUUACUCUCAACAACAUCUUGAGCAUGCAAAAAUCCCCCAAUGACAAAGGUGGACUUGGAUUCAACUCCAACAAGAAGAAGAAGUCCAAGGUGAACAAAAAGAAGGGCCAAAAACAAGUCAAUAAUUCGGCCAAGAUCAUUUGCUUCAAGUGCAAAAUUGAAGGGCAUCAUGUUAGAUCUUGCCCUUUGAAGAAGAAGGCCAUUAGUGACGAGCAACAAGGGAAGCGGAUAUAAGUGCAUUCUCAUGCUCAACCUCAAGUUGAAGAAAGGCAUCUUCCCAAGAAGACUCAAGCUAAUGCUUCUCAAGUUGAGAAAUCAAGUGAGAAGAAAGUGAAGAGUAGACGUUGCUACCUAUGUCGCGAGAAAGGUCACCGCGCUUCUUCAUGCACUAGUGGUAACUUAUCCAACCCAAUUAUUAUUGAUGAUAUCUAUUAUAUUGGGAAGGAUAAGGUUGGCAAUGUGGUUGCCAAGUUUGUUGGUACUCAAAGUGGUUUGAAGCAAAGAACCAUUUGGGUAGCCAAGCCUAUUGUGACUAACCUCUUAGGACCCAACUUGGCUGGGGACCAACUAGCUCAUACUUGAUCAAUAGGUGUUGUUGGAGGUCUUUGGAGACUUGGCUACAUUAUGAAAAAUUAAGGGUACUUCAUCAUUCUUAUUGUCUCAAGCCAAGUCAUUCGGAUUAUCAAGUUUCUAUCUUAUAUCCAAUGUUCCUCCUUGCGGUAACUCGUUCUUAAAUUGUUUACUUGAAAGUUACUUGCCCCUUAGCAUGUUGUGGUUUUGUACCUUGCAUGUGAUUGUAUAUGUUGUGCUUCAAAUUUGCUUAUCUUGAGAAGUCAAGUAUGUGUAUGUUGGUGUGCACAUCAUGUACGUGUGUGUUGUGUGUUGAGCCUUUUUGCAUCUUGUUUAUAUCUUAGUUUGCUCUUGUGAGAGAUUAAUGUAAUAUCCCAUUGUGGGGGAGUGAUGUGCUUUGUGCACCUCACAAUCCUAUAAAUGUGUGUACAUGAGGAAUACCAUCUAGUAUUGAUAUUACAAGAUUAUCUAGUCGCUAUAUGGUAUGUCUUCUCAUGAGAAAUUCAAAUUCUAGAUAGUCCAUUAAUUAUCUCUUGUUGGAUCCUUUAAUUGCCUCUUGUCUAUCUUUAAUUGGUAUCACAUUAUGGGGGAGUAAUAUGCUAUGUGUAUAUUACUAGCCUAGAAAAUGUGUACAUUUGAGAUAUUGUCACCUAGAAUUGAUAUUGUAAAUUAUCUUGUUCCUAGGUGGCAUGUUAGCUCUACAAGUUUCAAUUUGCUUUUUGUUUGGUGUGAAGAUGAUGUCGGAUAUCUUUGUUAUCUACCACCGGGAAUUAUUUCCAAAUACUUCUUGUCUUUUGACAAUUGGUACUCACUUAUGUGUGGUAGAAAUUAUUGAUCAUCUUUACAUUGGCCUUUGCUUUUAUUUGCUUUAUCUCUUGCCUAGGUUUGUGUCAACACCCAUUGUAUUCCAUACCACUUGUGGAUCUUGUUAAUUUCUUGACCUUGUCUAGUGUUUUCUAGAUAUAGUGAAAGUGGUGAUCCCACCUCGUGCAUUUUGUAUUCAAAUGCAAAUUCUCUAUAAUGCACUAGUCGUGGGGGAGCUAUCCUAUUUUCUAUAAAACACUCAUCUUGCGAUCCUUAUCAAGUGUGUGUUGGUGGAAGGCAAGCCGUUUUUGUUUUGGUACUUUGUGCCAUCAUGAAACUUUGUAGAGAGCUUGGUUUGUUUGGAACCAUCCUCUCUUUUGGGGGUUUGAUAUCUUUUAUUUAGUGGGUAUCAAUGGAUAUCUCAUUCCUUGAUGUAUCUCUUAUGGAUAUCCUCCAAGUGAUGUUUUAUUCAUUUGGUAUCUCUUCUUCACUUGGUAUUUCUUUGUCAAUUGGUAUCGGUUCUUGAAAGUCUUUAGCAUGCAUAUUUACUUCAUGUAUUUUCUUUGGCAUGCUUUCUUUCUCUGAUCCAAUAUGUAGGGGAAACUCCACCAAGUCUCAAAUUGGAUGAGAUGUGCAUGAAAUUCAUGUCCAUAUCUAUAUGCACAUAUCUAUGUUGAGUUUGUCCUAUGUAUAUUGGUGUUUCUAACUCUUUGGCCCCAAUGAGUUUGGGUACCAUUUUGUUUGUGUUGUUGUUCUAGGAACAAUUGGAGAUGCAUUGGAUGCUCGGCUCACUCACAAGGAAGAUGGUGUGACCAUGUGCUUAUUGGAUUCAAGCUAGGAUGCUCAAUGAACUACUAUCUACUACCUUCAAUUGGUUUCUUCUACAUCCUUCCAAUGAUAUCUCGGUAACAAGUAUCUAUUCAUGCAUUCUUUUCUUGCAUUCAACCUUGUGUAGGUUGCAUCUUGGCAUAAUAUUCAUUCCAUCUUGUGAUGCUUGUUUCCUUUCUCAAAGCAUCCCAACAAUGAUCUCUUGUUGCUAGUUGUGAUGUCUUUGUUGUUCGUGUGUGGACUUCAUUUAUAUACAAUAAGACCAUAUCUAGCCAUGUGCUAUGCUCCCAAGCAAAUAUCUUAUUGGUAUAUGUAUGACCUCCCUUUGGAUAUCUUGUUCCUCGUGUUGUAACUAUUUCGGGUGUACAUCCUUCUUUGUAGAUAAAUAUCAUCAUGAUUUCGUCUACCUAGAAUCUUAUACACUUGAGAGAAGUUGCAUAUCUAGUUGAUAUCCUUUAUUUCACGUCCACCUUGUCUUUCUCUUGUUAUUUCUUUGGUGGCUCAGUGAAAGCUUUUGCCUUGAGUGCGUGUCUUAUAUCGUUGCAUCUUGAUGCACUCUUGUGUGGUGAAGAUUAUUUUCCUCAUGCUUAUAUUUACGAGGCUUUUGCCACCUUAAUUGUUAUCCCUCGUCUUGAUGAGGCUUUCAUCCUCUAUCUUCACCACGGGUUGUCACAAGCAUAGGUUCUUUAUAUGCUUAUUAGUAAGCUUAUGAACCCAUUUGGUAGUUGUGUGUGGGAAUGAUAGGCCUUGCACCGUGUGCCUCAUUCUUUCAAGACUUUAUUGAUGCUUAAUGCUCAUCCAUACAUUAGUCUUCUCAAGUGCAUUGCCUUGACUCACACACAUCAUUUUGGUUGAGCCCAUUCUUAAGUUGUCUUUCUCUUGUUGCUCAACCAUGUGUUUGUAGCAAGUGCUAGGCUUAGUUUCCUAUAUGCUCACUUGCACUUGUUGUAAGUUUCUAUUGAUUUUGGGGGAGAUGUGAUCCUAUUUUGUGCACUUUGUAUCCAAAUACAAAAAUUCUUAUGUGUGCACAAAUCAUGGGGAGCUUCUCUAGUUUCUUUAGAACACGCCUUUGCUCAUAUCAUAAUAUCCUUUAUUCAUGUAGUUCGUAGGAUCUUUGGUCUAGUUGGUUGAAUUGAUACCCGUUGUCGGUGUCAAAACCGGCGGAUCUCGGGUAGGGGGUCCCGAACUGUGCGUCUAGGCCGGAUGGUAACAGGAGGCAGGGGACACAAUGUUUUACCCAGGUUCGGUCCCUCUUGAUGGAGGUAAAACCCUACGUCCUGCUUGAUUGAUAUUGAUGAUAUGGGUAGUACAAGAGUAGAUCUACCACGAGAUCAGAGAGGCUAAACCCUAGAAGCUAGCCUAUGGUAUGAUUGUAUGUUGUGAUUGUUGUCCUACGGACUAAAACCCUUCGGUUUAUAUAGACACCGGAGAGGGUUAGGGUUACACAAGGUCGGUUACAAAGGAGGAGAUAUCCAUAUCCGUAUUGCCUAGCUUGCCUUCCACGCCAAGUAGAGUCCCAUCCGGACACGAGACGAAGUCUUCAAUCUUGUAUCUUCAUAGUCCAACAGUCCGGCCAAUGGAGAUAGUCCGGCUGUCCGGAGACCCCCUAAUCCAGGACUCCCUCAGUACCCCCUGAACCAGGCUUCAAUGACGAUGAGUCCGGGGCACAGUAUUGUCUUCGGCAUUGCAAGGCGGGUUCCUUCUCCGAAUACAUCACAGAAGAAUUUGAAUACGAGGAUAGUGUCCGACCUUGCAAAAUAAGUUCCACAUACCGCCGUAGAGAGAAUAAUAUUUUCGCAAAUCCAAUUUGCUGACUUGUUUUGGCAGCAUGACGUUAUGUCAUGGCCCGGUGAUUAUUCGAACCAUUUUUCUUCAACCAGCUCCACACAUAACGCGAGGCGGUUUCUUGACACGUCUUGUCAAAGCAGAGAUCGUGUUCCCCCAAUUGCGGGAUUCUCAUUAAUGCGGUCGUGGGUAACCCAACCGUGUCUAGGACUCCUAGGUUAUAGGCAAGUCCUAAAUGGCUAUGGAGAGGACGCUUGAUAUUCACCCUCUUUAUAAAGGGACAAGGUUUUCGCUUUUUCCCUCUCGUGCUCAAUCGAACCCUUCCCCCGCCUCGAGUUCCAACACCCAAAGGCCAGGUUAGGUGCUCCGGAUCUUCAAUCAUGUCCGGAUCCAGCCUUCAAGGCCGAUGGAUGCCCUCCUCCGUGACGGAAGAGGACAUCAAGAAGUUGAGGGAGGCCAGAUACCUGACCGCCGAGGUUUCGCAUCGGCUUCCUGCUCGAGGGCAGGUCGUCCCUACUCCCGAACCCAACGAGAACGUCGUGUUCAUCUCCCACUUCCUUCGAGGCCUAGGCCUCACUCUGGAUCCCUUCGUCAGGGGUUUGAUGUUCUAUUACGGGCUAGAUUUCCACGAUCUAGCUCGGACUCCUUUCUCCACAUCUCGACAUUUAUUGUCGUGUGUGAGGCCUUCCUCCGUAUUACCCCUCACUUCGGCCUGUGGCUCAAGACCUUUGAAGUGAAGCUGAAGAUGAUCGAGGGGCAACAUGCAGCGUGCGGAGGUGCAUCAAUAGGCAAGAUGGCAGGAGCUCCAUGGCCGAAAGGUUCCUUUCCAGAGGUGUCUGAAUUAUGGCAACGGGAGUGGUUUUACGUCAUGGCUCCCAGAAGUGCCAAGUGGGCGGCUGCCCCCGCUUUCCGCUCGGGCCCCCAACCAUGACUAAUGUCAUGGAUUAGCAGAGGUCUGAGCUGGGGUCCAGCCAAGGACGUGCCUAUACUGCAAAGCCGCAUUCGAGAUCUCUUCGAGGGAGAUUUUAAUUUGGUCAUGGUAAUACAAGUUAUGUUGGUUCGUCAAGUCCAGCCUUGCAAACGCCGGCCCCUUCGCUUGUGGGAGUUCAACCCAGAAGGACCGCGUGCCAUUCAAAGUUUCCUCGGCCUGACGCACGAGGAGAUGUACAAGUCAUUCUUCGGACCUCAAAUAGAGUGUCCAGAUACUACCGAGGACGUGGGCCUAAGCAGUAACCGCGCCGCCGAACAAGUAAGAAAUCCUCUAGCUGAACACACUGUCUUUUAUUCAUCAUGAAGUUAUUUCUGAGAAUUCGCUCUUUGACCAGGACUGGCUAACAAAGGCGAAGAUGAUUCGGUGUUUGGCCCCCCUCCCUGAGGGUUUGGAAAAUCCGGUAUUGGAAAAGAUGCUCGAGCUCGCACCUUUCCCGGAGCCCUCGAAGGAAGAUACGGGGGAUAAUACGGGCGGACGCGGGCCCCCAUCGCUGCCAGUUCCCACCGAGGGAAUGAGCGUCUCCAUGAAGGAGGAUAACUGGGGUAGGAAAAGGACUGCUUCCGAGGAUCCGGAAGCCGAGGCCUCCAAACUGGAGAAGAAGUCUCCCACAGAGGGUCCUGCCUCGGAGGGUGCUUUUGCCGCACAAAGUCCGCGGGGGGAUCCGCCCUCCAACGAGUCAUAAGUGAUCCAAAAAAUACUUCAAUAGUGAAGGUAUACUAUCUUUCUUCUGAGAAAAUAACCACCGCAUAUAUCUUGCGGUUCGGGCCUUAGCCCCUCUCAUCUGAGCUCGUCUUCGGGGGAUCUUCUUCCAGAGAUGAUGGAGAGCGAAACGCCUCCCCCAGACUCCUCCGCUCAAGAAGCGGGAGACCCCGAAGUGUCGUCACGGAGGGCCUCUCCGGAUACGGUGAGGCCAGAAGAUAAUCCCAUAGACCCCCGAAGUCCCCAGCGUCCGGCUCCCGAAGAGAGCAAACAAAAGAGUCUGGCACCGUCUGGUAUGCGGUCGGACAUUCUGAGGGAGCUGGUGGGGCGAGCGGCCAUCUCAGAAGAACACCGUACGCUGAUGGGUAUGGUGAUGGAGAGAAUUUCGUCCGCCGAAAGCGGAUUACAUGAAGCCUUUAUAAGUCUACUGACAGGCUUUGAGGUACGUGAGAUAAUAUGUGAUAGUACCGCACAUGUUAGGUGUCCCCUAUGUAGAUAGUAGCCCCUGAGACUCUGGUUGUCAUCGAGAAUGGCGGCGAAUAGAGGAUCAUAGUCCUAGGCAAUAACCAGACUGCCCGUAUGUGCAGGUGGUGGAAGCUCCGGUGGCUAGCCGGACUAGUGAGUUUGCCAAAUUAAAACGGCAACUGGAUGCGGCAGAUGCCGACAUCGAGCUUGUUAGCAAGAGGCUUGACGAGGCACAGGGUAAGUGUUAUUAUCUGGUGAACGCCACAUAGUAAGAGCAGCAUGAUGCCAGUAUCUUUAAUAUGUUGUGACUGCAGAUGGAGCUGCCACCAUGGAAACCUUGCGGGCAGAACUUGCCCGAGCCAAGGAACAAGCAGGGAUUAGUAAUGCGGCUGCUUUGAAGGCGGCCGAAGAGUUGAAAGCCGAGAAGGCCACACAUUGCGAGAGCCAAGAGAAGAUGGCCAAGAUGGCCAUAGAAUUAAAAGACACUGCCGACCGUUGCCGGCUCCUUGAAAAAGAAAACCGAGCAAAGGCAACGGACCUUGAGAAGGCCACGAUGGCGGACAAAGGCACCCGCUCUGCUAUGAGAGCGAAGAAGGAGGAGCUGUGGGAAGCCGGGGAUAUUGCGGCUGGGAAGCCCUUCAUGCUACGGAGGAAGUUCGGAGAUUCACGGUAUGCCCCUCUGGAUCGGCUGUGGAGUUCAGCAGAUGCGUAUAUGGACUUGGCGGCGAGCGCUGCCGAUGCGGCCAAAUACUUCCAAGGUCAAACGGAUCAUGAAGUGGACAAGCUGUUCUGGUUGCAAUUCAACGUUCCAGAGCGUCCGCUUCCAUUGACUGAUCAGCUAGCCGAAUGGGCCGAACUAAAUAGGUUGUCUGGACUCGCCAUGAGGUCUCUCGUGGAUCUGCUAUGGCCGGAAAAGCCAAAGACGAAUAGCUAUUUCAGUUUAGUGCAGCGGUUCCUUGGUGCGGUGCCGCGCAUUAAUGCGAUGAAGAGGUCAGCGUGCAUAGAAGGCUCGCGGAUGGCCCUUGCCCAUGUUAAAGCAUACUGGGCGGAGAUGGACACUACCACUGUUGCGGCGCAGGGUUCGGCCAUAGGCCGAGUGGCUGCCGAGCACUUUUUUGAGGAGGUUCUCGAGGGUGCUCGUUUGAUAGAGGCCCAGUGCUCGAAGAAUAUUAUGUUUGAGUUAUAUGUAUUCUCAUUGUAAACAUAGUGCUUUUAUGAAAUUAUAUAAGGCUAUGUUUAUACUUUUGCCUGAAAGUAGUAUGAUGCCUCAUGUGCGGCCGUUUAUGUAUACAUGUGUAUAACCUGAAAGAUUGCAGCCGUCGGCUUCAACCCCCACGCAUAUAAUGCGGAGGUGCUCGCGAAAAACGCGUGUUCACACUUAACCCAACGUCUUGGUCCUAUUAAGGAGGUGAUAGCGUAGCGAACGAGGCAACCGGACUAUAAUGCUUUAACACUUUCACUUAGCCAUAGGAGUUUGACAGUGGGGCUACUAGAUAGCCCCUGGUGGCUCCGCACUCUCCCGAUCUCGGGGUGCGUACAUGCCUGGCCGGAAAACGGCCCUUCGUUAAGGCAGAGAAAUUCUAACAUUCUGAUAGGUCAUCAAGUGGUUGACCAGUCUCACACUAUAUCAUGAUAGUCAGUUUUCGGCUUUCUCUACUGAGGUGCUCGUCCGGAUGAACCAGGGCACAAUCGCAGUAGUUCUCCUGGUGCUGCCUUAGCCGAUAAAGUGGAACGUAAGGCACCAAAACACAGGAGCCGGGCAAACCCAACAUUUGACCAAAGACAAUGAUUCGGAGCUGAUGCAUAUAAGGCCAAACUCGUGACGCCGAACACUCCCUAAGGUAUUCGGUCUUUAUGGUAUAAACCGGGCCUAAAUAGUGCCCUUUGUAAGAAGCCCCUUGUGUCCAGGUACGUGCAUUAUUCUAACGUGGCCACAUGCCAAGACGUCAGCAUCCUUCUCAAUUGUGCUGAGAAUUCGGUGGAUGUGUAUCAACAAGAGACAGUAAAAAAGGUUUACGCAGGGCCUUGAUCUAAAAAGAAUCCUUGGAACGGGUCACUGCUGCACGUCUGCGCCUGUGUCUCCGUUGUGUCGUGUCCUGGACGGGUGUAGCACGAUGGUCAUCUGUAAAAGAGAGGAAUUUAGGUGAAAAAGUUGUCGUGCAGAGAGAUAGUUUUUAAAGAAACCAUGUAUAACUAGAAAUGAGUAUAAAUUGCCACUUGUCUGCGCGUGUUGGGCCCCUUGUAUUUGUAAUAGGGGUGUGGCCAUCAAUCCGGUAUAAAUUACAUAUAGCAGCGUCGGACUCGUCUAACCGCGUCCGUGGUCUUGACGACCUAUCAAAUACUUUAGUUGGCGAGGCCGUUUUUAGUGUGCGGCUGCCAAGGCAGUCGCAUUCUCUUCGGCGCGCAAGGAUCGCUUAAUACUUCCGUUCACUGUAAUGAUGUCGCGUGGACCAGGCAUCUUGAGCGUCAGGGAAGUGUAAUGUGGUAUUGCAUUAAAGCGAGCAAAAGCUUCGCGUCCAAGUAGUGCUUGAUAGCCACUUUGGAAUGGAGCGAUGUGGAAGGUUAAAUGUUCGCUACGGAAGUUAUCGGGGAAGCCGAAUAUAACCUUUAGUAGCAGGGAGCCCGUGCAAUGAGCCCCUGGGCCUGGUGUUACUCCUUUAAAGGUAGUAUUGCUAUGGCAAAUUUUCGUUGGGUCUAUCCCCAUUUCGCGGAUUGUAUCCUGGUAUAUCAGGUUGAGACUGCUGCCACCGUCCAUCAGGACUCGUGUGAAGUGGUAUCCGUCAAUUAUUGGGUCUAAUACCAGGGCAGCCCAUCCUGCACGCCGGAUACUUGCUGAGUAAUCACGAUGGUCGAAAGUGAUCGGUUGAGACGACCAGUGGCAGGACUCCACGGUGAUAGGCCCUUGGGCAUAUUUUUCUGAGAGUGCCGUCUUGUUUCUCCCCUUGAUCACGUGUAACACGUUUACUGUUUUGACUUCUGGUGGAAAUUUCUUUCGUUCCCCAGUGUCUUGCUUGAGAGGCUCAUCCUCGUCUUCGCUUGGUGUAUCCUCCCCCUUGUGUAUGGCAUUGAGCUUGCCGGACUGCUUGAAGACCCAACAUUUUCUGUGGGUAUGAUUAGCGGGUUUACCAGGGGUGCUAUGGAUCUGACAUAUUUGGUCCAGAAUUUUGUUUAGGCUAGACAGUUCGUCUCUGGCGCCUUUAGAGGGCGGCUUUUGCUGACCUGGCCGAGAGCUUUUGAAUCCGGCGUUUACUACCAUGCUCUUCAUGAUGUAUUCUUUAUUCCGGCAUUUGUUAUUGCUGUUGCGCCGUGAUUUCCCGUUUCCAUCUCUAACUUCGGAUGUACUGGGGUCGCUGGUGCUGCAUCUGGCUAGCUAGCUAUCCUCACCCGUGCAAAAGCGGGUCAUGAGGCUUGUUAAUGCUGCCAUUGUUCUCGGCUUUUCUUGGCCGAGGUGUCUGGCAAGCCAUUCAUCACGGACGCUAUGCUUAAAAGCUGCCAAGGCUUCGGCGUCCGGAUAGUCGACAAUUUGGUUCUUUUUAGUAAGAAACCUGUUCCAAAGCUUUCGGGCUGACUCUCCAAGCUGUUGAGUUAUAUGACUCAAAUCAUCCGCGUCCGGAGGUCGGACAUAAGUCCCUUGAAAAUUUGCCCGAAAGGCGUCUUCGAGCUCUUCCCAACUUCCAAUGGAGCUUUUGGGGAGGCUCUUAAGCCAGUGCCGAGCUGGCCCUUUGAGUUUGAGGGGUAAAUACUUAAUGGCGUGGAGAUCAUCUCCCCGAGCCAUGUGGAUAUGGAGGAUAUAGUCCUCAAUACAGACUCCAGGGUCUGUUGUUCCAUCGUAUGCCUCUAUGUUUACGGGUUUGAAUCCCUCUGGAAAUCCGUGGUCCAGCACCUCAUUGGUGAAACAUAGGGGGUGUGCGGCACCCCUAUAUCUGGGUGUACCGCGUUGUUCGGAUGUUUGUUGUGUUGCAUCGUAUGCUGGAGCACGCUUGCGUGUUCCAUAGAUGGAUCUGGUUUCACCCUCCUUUUGAUGCGAGCCCUCGCGUAGACCGCGUAUUGGCUUAUGUGCGGCGUUGCUUGCCGCUUUAUGUUGGCCAUGAGGUCGUCUAUCCGGCCAGAUGGCUGUUUUAAUUUUUGGUUGUGGGGGGUCUGAGGCCUCCUCAUCGAAUUCAGGUAGCAACUUCCGCUUUGGGUAGCUCUUGGUGGGGCGAUUGCCACUGUACUUCGCUGUUGUGUUGAGUACUUUACUCCAUCUGAUUUGGAGUGUGUCCUGCGCAGCCUUGAGCCUUUGCUUCUGCUUUUUCAGACUCCUCGCGGUGGCAACAAGCCUUUGACGGGCAUUCUGCUGCUCCGGGUGCCUGUCCGGCGUUAUGUUGUCCGGACUAUUAUCUUUGACAGAAUUGAUUUGUUUGGUUUGAUUCUCCGUAUUGCCGUGGUCCGGCGGUGGUUCGCCCUGCUCCAACGCUGGGUCUGUAUGAUCGUUAUUUCUGCCGAGGCGGGAUUUGGGGUGGCGCUUGCGCCGCCGCUUUGACUGCUUCUCGAGAGAACAAGCCUUCGUUGCGUCCUUCCGUUCCUCGUCGUCGUCUUGUUUUGGUGUGUCCAUCAUGUAUACAGUCAUAUGAUGAGGUGGACGUCCAGCGCCCUAUGGGCGGUGGUUCCUCUUCGCCUUCCGCAUCGUCGUCCAUACCAUCGAUGUCUUUAGAGUCGAAGUCGAGCAUGUCAGUUGAGUCAUCGACAGUGGCUAUUAAGUGGGUGGUGGGUGGGCAUCGAAUUUCUUCGUCGUCCGCAUCCCAAUCAUGUUGGCCAUAAUCCGGCCAGGGCUCUCCUGACAAAGAGAGAGACCUUAGUGAAUUCAGAAUGUCGCCGAAGGGCGAGUGCUGAAAGAUAUCCGCGGCGGUGAAUUCCAUGAUUGGCGCCCAAUCGGAUUCGAUUGACAGGGGCGCGGAUGGUUCGAAGUCCGAAAAAGAGUCCGGCACCUUGGAGUCAUGGGCUGCGCAGAGGGUUAGGCUGGUGUUCGGCUCGAUCGCCGUUGAGACUGCAGCCCCUAAGGCGGUGUCUAACCACCUAUCCUUGAUUGGCGCAGUUGGCUCCGAGCUAAGGGUCGGAGCUGAUGCGGGCGCGGCCUUUGGGGUACUGUCCGGCGGCAGAGCUAGGUCAUACCCAUCGUGACAGUGCGGCGCGCCCGGCUGUGGCUCGAAUCCGUCGAAGAUCAAGUCUCCGCGGAUGUCGGCCGUGUAGUUCAAACUUCCAAAUCUGACCUGAUGGCCAGGGGCGUAGCUUUCAAUCUGCUCUAGAUGGCCAAGCGAAUUAGCCCGCAGUGCAAAGCCGCCGAAUACGAAGAUCUGUCCGAGGAGAAAAGUCUCACCCUGGACCACAUCGUUAUCGAUGAUAGUAGGAGCCAUCAAGCCUAACGGCGACGACACAGAGGAACUCUCAAUGAAAGCACCAAUGUCGGUGUCAAAACCGGCAGAUCUCGGGUAGGGGGUCCCGAACUGUGCGUCUAGGCCGGAUGGUAACAGGAGGCAGGGGACACAAUGUUUUGCCCAGGUUCGGGCCCUCUUGAUGGAGGUAAAACCCUACGUCAUGCUUGAUUGAUAUUGAUGAUAUGGGUAGUGCAAGAGUAGAUCUACCACGAGAUCAGAGAGGCUAAACCCUAGAAGCUAGCCUAUGGUAUGAUUGUAUGUUGUGAUUGUUGUCCUACAGACUAAAACCCUUCGGUUUAUAUAGACACCGGAGAGGGUUAGGGUUACACAAGGUCGGUUACAAAGGAGGAGAUAUCCAUAUCCGUAUUGCCUAGCUUGCCUUCCACGCCAAGUAGAGUCCCAUCCGGACAUGAGAUGAAGUCUUCAAUCUUGUAUCUUCAUAGUUCAACAGUCCGGCCAAUGGAGAUGGUCCGGCUGUCCAAAGAGCCCCUAAUCUAGGACUCCCUCACCCGUUGAUUGCUUGCUUCAAUUGGUACCUUUUGAUUGCUUGAUUGCUUGUGUCUCUCUUUGUUAUGUCCUUGUGGCAUAUCAUUCCUUUAGCAAUCUUGGUGCCUCAAUAUAGUUGGUCUUCCUCCAAGUAUUACCGUUGGAUAUGUGUAUUGCAUUCCACUCUCUUGUUGAGAAAUACACAACUUAUGGAGGAACACAAUUUAUAUUGGCCUUCUAAGCUUUUCGCCCAUUUUGGCAAUCGAUGCCAAUGGGGGAGAAGUUUCAGAGAGUUUUGUGGAUAAGUUUAGAGAGUUUUUUCUUCUUACUUUGGUUUUGUACCUAAGCAUUUGCAUCUCAUACACAUGCAUUAUUGGUUGUUGCAUUGCAUGGUGAUAAAUAAUUCCUUAUAUAAACUCUCUUGAAAGUGAUUGUCAUCAAUUACCAAAAAUGGGGGAGAUUGAAAGGACAUGUGGUGCCCCCAUGUGUGGUUUUGGUAAUUGAUGACAAUCUCUAUGGACUAACGGUUGCCUUGAGUUAUAUUUGAAGGAUUUGUCCAUAGGAUUGUCUUGAAGUCCAUGUGUUGGUUUCAAGGAGUUUAUGAGAUGGACAAAGUGCUUUUCAAGGAAUUAUCCAAAGAUUGGUCAUGUGUGAGUUGAGAUGGCCAAAGUGCUUUUCAAGGAAUUAUCCAAAGAUUGGUCAUGUGUGAGUUGAGCUUAUUGCAAGCAUGUCUUGAAGAAGAAUAUUGUGUGAUCAUUCAUGUUUACCUUCAAGACAUCAUCCAAAUGAAGAGAGUUGGAAAGAUUCAAUGUUGAUCAAGACUAAGUCAAGAGUGAAUCAAGUUGAUCAACUCACAAAGCGUAGAAGAAGUACCGAGAGGGAUCAAGUGAUCCCAUGGUAUGGUAAGCAUUGUCCAUUAUGCUUUGUGUACUAACCCAUGGUCUACGUGAGAGUUCUUUGUGGGGUUAGGUGUGUUUCCAUGGUCUUGCGUCAAGAGGAAGAUCUCAUACAACCCAUGGAGGAUGACAUCAAGUGGUGAUCGUCAUCAAGUUUGCAGUAUGCAAGUUCAAGUGGAGCAACUCGAAGAGUGGCUCACCCAUAAUGGAGUAUGGGGGAGCAAUCAAGCUUGAAGCUUGCCGUCCAUUGUGGUGUCAAUGGAAUUGUGAAGAUGUGCCAAAGAGUGGCUCACCCAUAGUGGAGUAUGGGGGAGCAAUCAACUAGUCUUCAUCGAGCCAACACAAUCAAGAAAGGUGGUCCAAUUUGAGGAAGUCAAGAUCGUCAUCAUCUAGCUCAAGUGGACUAUGUGCAAGGCAAAGGUUUGCCCUUGAUAGGUUUUCUAUUUUACCGGUCUCAUAGUGGUAGUUGGGAGGUCGGGUUGUAGGAUCGAUUGCCGUACUAUCAAGGGGGGCUAUCUAGGGAGUGGCUUGAUCGUAUCAUUCGUCGAGAGCUCAAACCAUUGCAUCCUUGCAUCAUCUUUCUUGGUUCUUGUUUGGUUCCAUUUGUGAGUCUUAGAGCUUAUGGUCAUCUUGAUGGCAAGCUUGAGUUCAUCGAAAACGGAGUUCGCAUGCAUCUUCCAUGAUGUUUUCGGUGUUGGAGGUUUUACCGGUCUUAUCCGAGGAAGGGUUCUCACCUUUUUCUUAUGGGCCUUUUAUUAUUUGCUUCUUAUUGUUUUUUCUAUCAAGAUUGUGUUAGCCCUUGUCGCUAACUUUCCAACAAACUUGAUUUCGUCGAAUUCGAAGCUCGUAUGCGAAAGUUGUGGCUGUUUUGAUAUUGCAUGUUUUACACAGAGAGGUUGUACCGCCCCAUGGAGAGGUUGUACCGCUUGACCGGUACAACCGGUGUUUGGAGUGGUUGUACCGCUCCAGAAUUGGUCCGGAGGUUGUACCGGUCAUGUACCGCUCUACCACCGGACUGGUCUCUGUUGUGGUGCAGUUGUUGGGCGGUUGUGGGCCGGUUGUACCGCUUAUUGCCUGUUACCGGUUGUACCGGUGCUCCUAGAGGUUGUACCGCUCCUAUGUUAUUCUGUACAUAACGGGCAGAUUCGUGGGGACCUAUUUAAGGGGGUCUUCUUCCCCAAUGGUUCCCUAUCUCUUGAGCUCGUUUUUGCCCCCAUUGUUGACCUUCUUUGAGCUUGCUAACUCUCAAUCCCUACAUGGAUUCUUGCUAGUUUUUGAGGGAAAAGAGAGAGGAGAUCUAGAUCCACAUUUCCACCAAUCACUUUCUCCUCUAUGUGAGGGGAACCCCUUGGAUCUAGAUCUUGGAGUUCUUGGUGUUCUCCUUCUUGUUCUUCCUCUCAUUUUCCUCCCCAGCAUUAGUUGCUUUGGUGGGAUUUGGGAGAGAAGGACUUGGGCACUUCGUGUUCCCUUGCCAUUGCAUUUGGUGCAUCGGUUUGAGUUCUCCACGGUGAUACGUGGAAGUGAAGUUUGAGAAGCUUAUUACUCUUGGGUGUUUGGGCACCCUAGAGCUUGUUCCUCUUGGGUGCCUUGGCGCCCUAGACGGUUGGUGUUGUUCGGAGCUCAAUCAUUGUGGUGUAAAGCUUCGGGCAAGCGUCGGGGUCUCCAAUUAGGUUGUGGAGAUCGCCCCGAGCAAUUUGACGGAUACGGGUGACCGCCCCCAAGGGUUGCCAAAGUGUACGGGUUCGGUGACCGCCCCCAAGGGUCGCCAUUUGUACGGGUUCGAUGACCGCCCUCAAGGGUCCCUUAGUGGAAUCACGACAUCUUGCAUUGUGCGAGGGCGUGAGGAGAUUACGGUGGCCCUAGUGGCUUCUUGGGGAGCAUUGUGCCUCCACACCGCUCCAAACGGAGAUUAGCAUCCGCAAGGGUGUGAACUUCGGGAUACAUCGUCGUCUCCGCGUGCCUCGGUUAUCUCUUACCCGAGCUCUUUACUUAUGCACUUUACUUUGUGAUAGCCAUAUUGUUUCUUGUCAUAUAUCUUGCUAUCACAUAUUUGAUAUCUUGCUUAGCAUAAGUUGUUGGUGCACAUAGGUGAGCCUAGUUGUUUUAGGUUUUGUGCUUGACAAAUUAACCGCUAGGUUUAUUUCGCAUUUGUUCAAGCCUAAAUCGUAAUCAUUUUAAAAUGCCUAUUCACCCCCCUCCCCCCCCCCCUCUAGGCGACAUCCACGAUCUUUCAGCUGGCCCAGCGGCUCGGCCGCGCGCAGGCUGUCGAUGCAGGAGGCGUAUUCUCGUGAAUACGCCUUCCUUUGGCGAAGGCGGUAACUGGCGGAGCCCGCCUCCACUUAAACGGGGUGGGGCCCUCCCGUUAGUGGCUCAGCCACGCUGGCUGGCCGACAGGCGGGGCCCGCUGGCAGGUUUGUCCUCGACCUCCUGCGCGGGUGCGGCAGGAGACAGAGGAGGCGCCCGACGCCGGUCACCGGCGCUACAGGGCGUCUUCGGCGAUGUUCUGCCUGCCGACGUGCUCAGGAGACCCGACCGCGUCUAACCAUGGGUGGCAUGGUCGCCUAGGGGCACCGGGUGGAGCAGGGUGCUGGCCGCGGCGGACGGGACCGGCGGUGAGAUCUAGUCACGGUGAGGAAGGCAUGGGGAGGAAGGACUGAUGUGCGGGGAGAGUUGGUGGUGGUGUUGGUGCUGCUCUGGAACAAAGAGGUCGGGAGGAGGGGCUCUCAGUGCCGCGAAUUUAGGCGGAGGCCGGCGGCAUUGCUCCGGCCAUGGAGAUGCAAGGAGGGCACGAGGAGGGGAGUGGGUUUGAGAGAGUCAAAGGAGUAGAGAGGGGGCUCGGGGCGGCCUUAAGUGGUCGGCCCGUGGCUCAUCGUGGACGCGGCGCACGGGUGGCCGUGGCAACGGCUCGAGCGGCAAGGGAGAGAGAGCGAGGGGUUUUCUGCGGUGCUCGUGGGGGUGGAGUUGGGCACCAGGAAGAGAGAGAGGGUGCGGGGCGAGCUGCACGCAGCCACCGGAGCUGCGCGAGCAUUGGCCGAGCCAGGCGGCUCUGGCACGUGCCGCGGGAGGUGAGAGAGAGGGGGGAGGAGGGGGCCUGCACGGCUGUCGUGUUGCGGACGUCGAGGACCUCGAGUGGCGCGAGGGGAGGCUCAAGGUGGUCGGGGGACGCGGCGUCAAUGGUCGGGAGCACGAUGUCAUGCUCCAGAGCGUGUCUUUGGCCGGCGUCCGCGGCUUUUCCGCGUGCACUCGCGUGUCCACUUGUGUCUAGUGGCUGCAGGGGGAGUAAACAAAGUGGAAAUGUCAUUGGAUGCCUCGGGGAGCCAGUAGAAGAGAGGAGGGGUAGAGAGAGUGGGAAUGAUGAUGUCCAGAGAAGAAAAAUGGGUCUCUGCCCCCCUUAAUCAUUGUCCCUUGGGCUGGAAAGCUUGUGGGAGGUUAAGAGGGACUAGAUUAGGGUGUGGGUGGAGUUUCAACUCAUGGAGAUUAGUGGAAGGGGCUGAAACAUGGAGUUUUAAAUUUUGUCAGAAGGUGUUUGAUGGUGGUUUGGGAAAGCAAAUGCAUUCUCCUUGCCAUCAUAUUUAACAGGAGUGAGUGGCAUCACAUAACAGUAGUGACCACCAAUUUUGAGGUCAAGUGGAGAAAGUGGCCAAUGCAACUUUUGUAAACCCUAGAAACCAACAAAAAUGACUUUUCCAAGAUUUAGUCAUGCAAAUCUAUUCUCCUUGAUGCACCACUUUGUGUAGUCUCAUCAUUUGAGGAUUUAAACAUGUCCACAAAAAUUCAGAUCGAAAGGACACACUUGGCAAUGUAGAGUUGUUCAAAUUUGCUUCUGGACAGAAAGGGUUUUAGAACACUUUGAUCAUGAUAUCCUUCUCUCCAAAUUGAGCCAUUUUGCCUAGAUGCAUUAUUACACCAUUUGAGCAUGCGCACCAAGUUUGAGAGCAUUUGGACAUGUUUGGCAGUGCAAAGUUGUUCAAACUUGAAACAGGACAAAAAUGGUUUUGAGAGGGUUUGGUGGGGCUAUAUUGUUCUCCAUGACAUGAGACUUUGUAGUAUCCUCAAGUAGGUCAUUUUGUACAUGAUAGAAUUUUCCUGUACUUAAUGGAGAAUAUUUUCUUUGUAAACAUUUCAAAAGCUUGAAAUGACCAGAAAUAGUUUUUGAGGGAUUUGACCAAUAAUUUGAACAUGACCAUGUGUUGAAACUCUUAUAUAUGGUCAAUAUAUGUCCACUGAGCUUUCCUAAAUUUUCUCAAAUAUUUUUUAAAUAUUAAAAUAAUUUAAACCUAUUAAAGACCAUUUCUGGCCUUAAGAAAAAGCCUUUAAAUAAAAUAGGAAAAUAACUUUUAAAAUUAUAUUUUUGUGGUUUAUGGGAGUCCUAUACCUAAUAGGUUCCAAAUAUACUUUUUGAAAGACUUUUCACACCCUUAAUUAAGUACUUGUGGUUCAAGUCUCAAUUCAGGGGUUUUUGGAAAACCUAAUUUAGAAAAUUCUUUUUGGCCAAAUAUUUUUGCAAGAAAUUGUUUUUGUGUCCUACACACAUGGCAUGAUCAUUGGGCAAGGUUUUGGAUCAAGGAGAAGGAGUAUAAGAGUUGGAGGAUUUAUUUGGUUUUUAGAGCACUUGCAACCAACACACAAAAAUCAAAUCAAACAAAGACCAAAACACUCAAAAGUUUUUGUCUAACCACAUUUUAUCAUGAUUGAUUAGCUUAAGUGUUGUGGCAUGAAAAUCAGGGUGUGACAGAGUGAACAUAGGUUCAAAUGAAAUGAAUGUAGAAGAUAAAACCCAUUGAUGCUCGCACUUGUAGAAGUGCUUCCCUGGAUUGAGCACUGUUUGAGAGACCCACCAUUGAUCAUGCCCUUGUUGCAAUGGAGGCACACCAUUAGUGGGAGUGGAGCUUGGUCCUCCAGGUCGACUAGGGGAGAAGAUUGAAGUUCAAAUGGAUUCGAGAAGUUGUGUAAUGGUAUAUCAUGAGAGAGUUUGGAGGAUUCUAGAGGGGGUAGGUGGGGAAGAACAACUAUCCCGGGGUGACCAAGGUAUGGAGAAAAGGAGUAUGCGGGAGGAUGAGGACCGGGGUUCAUUGAAUUGAUCCUUUGGUUUUGGACGUUGGUAGUUUGGGAUGAGCUAGGCUGGAUAAUUUGUCUCGGUAUGGGAACACGUGGUUAUAUGUCCUAUUAUACUGAAGUGAUGGAAAUCAAUAUUCAACGGAUACAUAUGACUCUAAUAUAUUGGAUGGAAUCCCGAGGUGUCGUGUGCUCGAACGCAUUUUUGGAUUCUAUAGCGCCUAAAUACUGUAUCCUCAUUACUGUAGCGAUCAUGUUUAGAGCAAAAUAUGAAAUCAUUUUUUGGAAAACCCUGAACAUUUUCUGAAUUCUGAUUCUUUUAAAGAAUAAACAGGAAAUGAUUGGAGUUGCAAACAUCAUUUAAAAAUUCAAACAUUUCCAAGUAUUUUUGUAUUUUCAAAAAAAUGAAAAUACAGAUUUUGCAAUUGUAAAUAUUACGUAAAAAUACAAUCUUUUUUUAAAGUCAAACUAUUUUUCAAAAUUUGAGAAUAUUUAGUAAAAAACACAGACAAGUUUUCAAAUUCAUAUUUUGUUUGUGAAAACUACGAUAAAAAACCCAAAAAAUAAAAGAAAAAAAGGAGCGGAAAAACUAGUGAAUAAAACAUAGUCGUAAAAACACGUAAAGAAAGCAAGGAGGAAAAACGGUUCCUAGCUACUUGAACGGCCCAGUGUGGUUCGGUCAAUGCCUCGCCUGUGCGAAGCAGCGGCAUUUUGCCACGGUGAGCGGCAAAUAGGUAUGGCCGCGUCGCCUGAAGGAACGACCCUAGUGAGCGCACCCAGUAUCGAGAGUAACUAGUUAACGAGCGCUUCUUCGGGGGCUUCACAACGAUCAGCGUCAUUUGGCGUGCUCUCGGCCAUUCGUCACGUGUCGCCCUCUGGAUGCUCCCUUCAGAUUGUGUUUUUUUAUUUUUUCAAAUGUGUUUUUGGCUUUUUAAAUGGUUUUUUGGGGUUUUUUUCGAUGUUUUGAUUUUCCACCGGUCUUCUUUAGGAUUUCGAUAUUUAAAAAAAUGCACGAAAAAAUGCGUUUUCUUUUUUUUUCUUUCGCGAGAGUUACGGUUUUGCUUCCGCGAGAGGCACGGUUUUGCUUUCGCAAGAGUCAUCUCCGUGCCUCUCAAAAACAAAAAAAAAUGCAUUUUCUGCGCUUUUUUCCUUUUGCGAGAGCCACGGUUGUGCUUCCUCAAGAGGCACGGGUGUGCUUCGCGAGAGUCACGGCCGUGCCUCUCGGAAAGGAAAAAAACAUGUUUUCUGUUUUUUUUCCUUUCACGAGAGUCACGGUUAUGUUUCCGCGAGAGGCACGGUUGUGCUUUAGCGAGAGUCACGGUCGUGUCUCUCGGAAACGAAAAAAAACAUGUUUUCUAAUUUUUUUUCUUUGCGAGUCAUGGUUUUGCUUCCACGAGAGGCAUGGUUGUGCUUUCACGAGUCACGCCCUUGCCUCUCGGAAACGAAAUAAAAACAUGUUUUCUGUUUUUUUUUCCUUUCGCGAGAGUCACGAUUUUGUUUCCGCGAGAGGCACGAUUGUGUUUUCGCGAGAGUCAUGGCCGUGCCUCCUCGGAAACGGGAAAAAACGCGUUUUCUCUUUUUAUUUUCUUCCGCGAGAGUCACGGUUUUGUUUCCGCGAGAGGCACGGCUGUGAUUUCGUGAGAGAUACGGGUGUGCCUCUUUCGGAAAGGGAAAAACCCGUGCUCCCAGUUCAAUUUUUUUCGUCCGGCUUUUUUCGUGAAAAAAAGUUCGUCAAAACCUAUCAACAUGGGAUCUAGUUUUGAAGAUGUCAACAUGAGGAAUCCAACGGUGAAAGUGGUUCGAGAUUUGAACGCACGGUUUAAGAGAUAAAAUGUUUUGAAUAAACGGAUCUACGAAAAGAGGGAAAACUAUGACAGGUGGCACGUUGCAUGUGCGCCACUUGUCGCAAUCAGGGGAGUUGAAGUGAUCUUUGCAACAAGUACUCUUCAACUAGUGAUUUCGCCCAGUAUCUAGUUUGUUUCUUUCUUCACUCGGUUUCGUUUUAUUUUUCAUUUUCUUGUUUAUAAUUUCAUUUAUAUUUUCGUAACAUUCUAAAAACAUAUAUUUCAGAAACAUUGCAUGUGACAAUUAAAAAACAUAUAGUUAAAAAACGUUCGUGACGUUUUGUAAAAAUGUUUGUAACAAAUGUAAAAAAUGUCCGCAUAAUUUAAUCAAUUUUUAUUGCCAUAAAUAAAUCACCGUGUAUCUGAAAAAUGUUCAAAAGAUGUAUUUAAGAAAACUGCUCUUUUUCGAAACAAGGGAGAGGGGUGGAGUGCUGCGGUUCUUCACAAGCACAAUGGCUUAUUCCAAGCAAGGCCUGCCAUUUGUUUCCCCAACAUCUCUAAUCCUUAACAUGCUGACCCGUUGGCAUGUCAGCGAGGCCUACAAUUGUCUGCAGAAGUUGGGGAGGAGAGAAUCAUACUGGAGACAGACAACCAACUGGUGGCUAAAGUUCUCGUAUCACUAGAGGUCGACCGUUCGAGAUAUGGUCCUCUCAUCAAAGAAAUUAAGGUUCUACUCGGCGGUGCCGUGGAGUGGAAGAUGGUUUGGGCUAGACAUACAGCUAACAAGGCUGCUCAUUUACUUGCGAGGGAUGACUGACUAAUUAAGUUAUGUAUAAGACUUGGCUUAAUGUUGCCCUGUUGUGUUGUGUAUCAGUGACCCCGCCGAAGAGUUUGCCCCUCAAAAAAGGAGUAAAAAGAAAAAUAUACUUUGUGUAUUUGGGAGAUGUUGGAUGACCCACAAGUAUAGAGAAUCUAUCGUAGUUCUUUUGAUAAGUAAGAUUGUCGAACCUAAUAAGGAGCAGAAGAAAAUGACAAGUGGUUUUCAAUACGAUAUUCUCUGCAAGCACUGAAAUUAUCGGUAACAGAUAGUUUUGUGAUAAAAUAAUUCGUAACGGGUAAUAAGUAAAUAAAGUAACUAAGGUGCGGCAAGGUGGCCUAAUCCUUUUUUUAGCAGAGGAAAAGCCUGGACAAACUCUUAUAUAAAGCAAAGCGCUCCCGAAAACACAUGUGAAUUAUUGUCAACUUAGCUUUCAUCAUGCUCAUUGAUUUGCGUUAGUUACUUUGAUAUUUCGAUAUGUGGGUGGACCGGUGCUUGGGUCCUUCCCUUCCUUGGACAAGCCUCCCACUUAUGAUUAACUCCUCUCGCAAGCAUCCGCAAUUAUGAAAGAAGAAUUAAGGUAAACCUAACCAUAAAAUGAAACAUAUGGGUCCAAAUCAGCCCCUUACGAAGCAACACAUAAACUAGGGUUUAAGCUUAUGUCACUCUAACAACCCAUCAUCUACUUAUUACUUUCCAAUGUGUGACGCCCCCGAUUCAAUCGUACACUAAUCAUGCACGCAAACGUGUACGAUCAAGAUCAGGGACUCACGGGAAGAUAUCACAACACAACUCUAAAACAUAAAUAAGUCAUACAAGCAUCAUAAUACAAGCCAGGGGCCUCGAGGGCUCGAAUACAAGUGCUCGAUCAUAGACGAGUCAGCGGAAGCAACAAUAUCUGAGUACAGACAUAAGUUAAACAAGUUUGCCUUAAGAAGGCUAGCACAAACUGGGAUACAGAUCGAAAGAGGCGCAGGCCUCCUGCCUGGGAUCCUCCUAACUACUCCUGGUCGUCGUCAGCGGCCUGCACGUAGUAGGCACCUCCAGUAUACUAGUCGUCGUCGACGGUGGCGUCUGGCUCCUGGACUCCAGCAUCUGGUUGCGACAACCAGAAAGAAGGGAAAGGGGAAAAAGGGGGGAGAAAGCAACCGUGAGUACUCAUCCAAAGUACUCGCAAGCAAGGAACUACACUACAUAUGCAUGGGUAUAUGUGUAAGGAGGCCAUAUCAGUGGACUGAACUGCAGAAUGCCAGAAUAAGAGGGGGAUAGCUAAUCCUGUCGAAGACUACGCUUCUGGCAGCCUCCGUCUUGCAGCAUGUAGAAGAGAGUAGAUUGAAGUCCUCCAAGUAGCAUCUCCAAGUAGCAUAUCCAGGUAGCAUCUCCAAGCGCAUCUCCAGUCGCAUCGCAUAGCAUAAUCCUACCCGGCGAUCCUCUCCUCGUCGCCCUGUAGAAAAGCGAUCACCGGGUUGUCUGUGGAACUUGGAAGGGUGUGUUUUAUUAAGUAUCCGGUUCUAGUUGUCAUAAGGUCAAGGUACAACUCCAAGUCGUCCUGUUACCGAAGAUCACGGCUAUUCGAAUAGAUUAACUUCCCUGCAGGGGUGCACCACAUAGCCCAACACGCUCGAUCCCAUUUGGCCGGACACACUUUCCUGGGUCAUGCCCGGCCUCGGAAGAUCAACACGUCGCAGCCCCACCUAGGCAAAACAGAGAGGCCAGCACGCCGGUCUAAACCUAAGCGCACAGGGGUCUGGGCCCAUCGCCCAUAGCACACCUGCACGUUGCGAGGGCGGCCGGAAGCAGAACUAGCCCCCUUAAUACAAGAGCAGGCUUACGUUCCAAUCCGGCGCGCGCCGCUCCGUCGCUGACGUCUGAAGUGCUUCGGCUGAUACCACGACGCCGGGAUACCCAUAACUACUCCCGCGUAGAUGGUUAGUGUGUAUAGGCCAGUAGCCAGACUCAGAUCAAAUACCAAGAUCUCGUUAAGCGUGUUAAGUAUCCGCGAAUGCCGAACAAGGCCAGGCCCACCUGUCUCCUAGGUGGUCUCAACCUGCCCUGUCGCUCCGCCACAAAGUAACAGUCGGGGACCGUCGGGAACCCAGGCCCACCUCUACCGGGAUGGAGCCACCUGCCCCUUCAGCCCCCAUCUCCGAAUAGUAUCACAGGUAAUGUAACUGUGUAAAGUAUAUAGUAUAUGCCCGUGAUCACCUCCCGAAGUGAUCACGGCCCAGUAGUAUAGCAUGGCAGACGGACAAGAGUGUAGGGUCACUGCUGGAACACUAGCAUCCUAUACUAAGCAUUUAGGAUUGCGGGUAAGGUAUCAAUGACUGUAGCAGCAAUGACAGGCUAUGCAACAGAAUAGGAUUAACGGAAAGCAGUAACAUGCUACACUACUCUAAUGCAAGCAGUAUAGAAGAGAAUAGGCGAUAUCUGGUGAUCAAGGGGGGGGGGGGCUUGCCUGGUUGCUCUGGCAAGAGAGAGGGGUCGUCAACUCCGUAGUCGAUCACAGGGGUACCGGCAGCGGUCUCGGGGUCUACCGGAAAAAGUAUCGAAGGGGGGAACACAAUAAAUAACAGAGCAAUCAAAUGUAAUACAAAGCAAGACGCGGCAAUACGUUGUGCUAGGUGUGCCCUAACGCGGUAGGUGGUGAUACCGACGAAGGGGGGAAACAUCCGGGAAAGUAUCCCCGGUGUUUCGUGUUUUCGAGCACAGGAGCCGGAGGGGGAAAGUUGCGAGUUUGAUAGGUUAGGGAUGCGUGGCGGACGAACGGGCUGCGUUUCUGGGUUCGUCUCGUCGUUCUGAGCAACUUUCAUGUAGAAAGUAUUUUCAUCUGAGCUACGGUUUAUUUUCUAUUAAUUUUAAAAGAUUUAAAUCAUUUUCAGGAUUUAUUUAAUUAUUUUAAUGCAACAUUAUCCAGAAUAGUGCUUGCUGAUGUCAGCAUGAUGUCAUCAGUCAACAGAGGUGUUGACUGGGUCAAGCUGACGCGUGGGUCCCGCAUGUCAUUGACUAUUUUAGUUAAUUAAGUUAAUCAGUUAAUUAGGUUAAUUAAUCUUAAUUAGUUACUUUAAAAAGAAUUAAUUAAGUUAAUUAUUUAGUUAAUUAAUUAAUUAAUAUUUAAUUUUAUCUAUCUAUUUACUUAUUUAUUUAUUUAUUUUAAUUCUCUUUUUUUAAUAACGUUUCAGGGGGGUGGGGCCCGUUUGGCACUGGCACAGAGGCCUUAGCGGGGCGGGCGCUGGGUGCGGGUGCGUGGGCGCUUGCCCGGGAUUACAGGGGGCGCCAGCCAGGGGUGAGGCCACGACGACGGCCGGAGGGGCCGCAGCCACGGCGAGGUCGGCCGGGCUGCGAGCGGCGCCAGCGAGGCGACGGAGCGGUGGACGGGGCCGGCAGCGGGCCGGAGCGGCAGGGAAGAGCGGGAUGAGCGCCGUGCGGGGCCGCGGUCGUGGUCGGGGCGGCCAUGGCGACCGCGACGACGAGCGGGGGAAAGGGGAGGAUGAACGGGUCCUCACCAGCGGUGGUGAGCAGGGAGGCGUCGAGGCGCGUGGAGGCCGUUCGGGGAGGAGGACGGGGACGACGGCGUCGGAGACGAGGCAGGCCGUCGAGGGAGGAAGGCGGGGCCGGUCCAGCGGGGUGGCAUGGUCGAGGCGGCGUUCCGGCCGACGGCGGGGGAACGAGGUCGGUGUCGUCCGGCGAGGCAGCACCCGCGACGGCGUCGGCACCGCGGCGUUGAGGCGAGGAGGCGGACGGGGACGGCGCUCCGUCGAGGAGAGAGAUGAGGAGGCGAGGAGGCAGGCCGGCGUGGUGGCUCCGACGAGGUCGAAGCGGCGGCGGUGAUGGUGCUCCAGGGACGAUAGGCGACGCGGUCGGCGGGUCGAUGGAGUCGGGGCGGGUCGUUCCCCCGAUCCCGAUCUGGAUCGGGGAAGGGGAGAGAGAUGUGGGGAUCGUNNNNNNNNNNNNNNNNNNNNNNNNNNNNNNNNNNNGAUUUGCAUUCCUUUUCUUAUUUUCUUUUCUGUUUUAUUUAUUUUAGUUAGCAAAACAGCUUUACAAAAAUAUAACCCCUACUCCUAAAUUAGCAUAAUAACAUAGGCCACCUACUCCAAAAAGUUUGGUGAUUAUAUAAACUAGAUUAACAUCUGUUUAGUAUUUAAAAGCAUUUAACUAAUUGUCUUGCUGCUGUUUUACUUACUAUAGUGCAUUUAAAUACUUUACACAAGUGUGGUUUCUUCACCAAUAUUUAAUAUGGAUUAUCUGGCUUACUCCGAACAUUUUUGUUUUAAUAUUUGAAAACUUUUAUUGUUGCCUGAUUUUGAAUUUGAAUUUGAAUCGGUUUCGAACUAACUCGAGAUUAGCCACCGUGAUCAAAGUGACAUGGCAUCAUUAGCAGAGAAUUACUGUAGCUUAAUUAUCCGGGCGUCACACAAUGCCUUCCCCUAGGCCCAAAUAAUGGUGAAGUGUCAUGUAGUCGACGUACACAUAACAUCACUAGAGGAGAGAUAGCAUACAUCUCAUUAAAACAUCAAACGUAUACCAAAUUCACAUGAUUACUUAUAACAAGACUUCUCCCAUGUCCUCAGGAAAAAUCGUAACUACUCACAAAAGAUAAUCAUAAUCAUAAUCAGAGAAGUAUUAAUUAUCAUUAAGGAUCUGAGAAUAUAAUCUUCCACCUGAUAAACCAACUAGCAUCAACUACAAAGAAUAAUCAACACUACUAGCAACCCACAGGUACCAAUCUGAGGUUUUGGGACCAAGAUCGAAUACAAGAGAUGAACUAGGGUUUGAGAGGAAAUGGUGCUGGUGAAGAUAUUGAUGGAGAUUGACCCCUUCUCGAUGAGAGGAUCUACGGUGAUGACGAUGGCGACGAUUUCCCCCUCCUAGAGGGAUGUUUCCCUGGCAGGACAGCUCCGCCUGAGCCCUAGAUUGGUUCUGCCCGGGUUCCGCCUCGAGACGGCGGCGCUUCAUCCCGAAAGCCUCCUUCUAUUUUUUCCAGGUCAAAACAUGGCAUAUAGCCAAAGAUGGGCACCGAAGGCCUGCCAUGGGGCCCACAAAGUCGGGGGGCGCGCCCUCCACCCUUGUGGCUGGCUGGUGGCCCCCCUCUAGUACUUUCUUCGUCCAAUAUUUUUAUAUAUUUCAAAAAUAAGUUCCGUGAAGUUUCAGGACUUUUGCAGUAAUGCAGAAUAGGUCUUUAAUAUUUGCUCAUUUUCGAGUCCAGAAUUCCAGCUGCCGGUAUUCUCCCUCUUCAUAUAAACCUUAUAAAAUAAAAAAGAAAAGACAUAAAUAUUAUGAUAUAAUGUGUAAUAACAGUACAUAAUGCAAUAAAUAUCAAUAUUAAAGCAUGAUGCAAAAUGAACGUAUCAAUGUUUAACGUGUAUCACAAAAAUGUUUCACGUAUACACUAUAAAUGUACAUUAUCUAUUGAAAAAAUAGUAAUGAAGGCGAAAAAACCUAGAAAAUCAAAUAAAAUGAUGAAAAACGACAAAAAAUAAAAAGGAAAAAAGGGCUAAACCGAUGAUGAAACAAAGAAAUGAAAGAAGGAAAUCAAAGAAAAACAACAAAUGACGCAUCGGGAGAACACUGCAGGUGAGACGUAAAAUGGGUCGGCCCAGAAAUGACACAUUGCCACCUCUUUUAGCGCUGUGUUGGUUUUCCCCGAAGAGGAAGGGAUGAUGCAGCAAAGUAGCAUAAGUAUUUUUCUCAGCUUUUGAGAACCAAUGUAUCAAUCCAGUAGGAGGCUACGCGUGAGUCCCUCGUACCUGCAUAAAACAAAUAAAUCAUCGCAACCAGCGCAAAUAGGGGUUGUCAAUCCAUAUAGGGCCACUUACGAGAGUGAGAUCUGAUAGAUAUGAUAAGAUAAUAUUUUUGGUAUUUUUAUGAUAAAGAUGCAAAGUAAAAUAAAGGCAAAGUAAAUAACUAAGUAGUAGGAGAUUAAUAUGAUAAAGAUAGACCCGGGGCCAUAUGUUUCACUAGUGGCUUCUCUCGAGAGCAUAAGUAUUCUACGAUGGGUGAACAAAUUACUAUUGAGCAAUUGACAGAAUUGAGCAUAGUUAUGAUAAUAUCUAGGUAUGAUCAUGUAUAUAGGCAUCACAUCCGAGACAAGUAGACCGACUCCUGCCUGCAUCUACUACUAUUACUCCACUCAUCGACCGCUAUCCAGCAUGCAUCUAGAAUAUUAAGUUAAAAACAGAGUAACAUCUUAAGCAAGAUGACAUGAUGUAGAGGGAUAGACUCAUGCAAUAUGAAGAAAACCCCAUCUUGUUAUCCUCGAUGGCAACAAUACAAUACAUGCCUUGCUGCCCUUACUAUCACCGGGAAAGGACACCGCAAGAUUGAAACCAAAGCUAAGCACUUCUCCCAUUGCAAGAAAGAUCAAUCUAGUAGGCCAAAUCAAACUGAUAAUUCGAAGAGGCUUGCAAAGAUAACCAAUCAUACAUAAAAGAAUUCAGAGAAGAUUCAAAUAUUAUUCAUAGAUAGACUUGAUCAUAAACCCACAAUUCAUCGGUCUCAAUAAACACACCGCAAAAAGAAGAUUACAGCGAAUAGAUCUCCACAAAAGAGGGGGAGAACAUUGUAUUGAGAUCCAAAAAGAAAGAAAAAGCCAUCUAGCUACUAACUAUGGACCCAUAGGUCUGAAGUAAACUACUCAUACUUCAUCGGAGAGGCUAUGAUGUUGAUGUAGAAGCCCUCCGUGAUCGAUGCCCCCUCCGGUGGAGCUCCGGAACAGGCCCCAAGAUGGGAUCUCGUGGAUACAGAAAGUUACGGCGGUGGAAUUAGGGUUUUGGCUCAUGUUCUGAUCAUUUGGGGGUACGUGGAUAUAUAUAGGAGGAAGAAGUACGUCGGUGGAGCAACAGGGGCCCCACGAGGGCGGAGGGCGCGCCUGGGGGUAGGCGCGCCCCCUACCUCGUGGGUUCCUGUUAUGUGGCUUGACGUAGGGUCCAAGUCUCCUGAGUUGUAUUCGGUGAGAAAAUCACGUUCCCGAAGGUUUCAUUCCGUUUGGACUCUGUUUAAUAUUCCUUUUCUUCGAAACCCUAAAACAGGCAAAAACAGCAAUUCUGGGUUGGGCCUCCGGUUAAUAGGUUAGUCCUAAAAAUAAUAUAAAAGUAAAUAAUAAAGUCCAAUAAUGUCUAAAACAGUAGAUAAUAUAGCAUGGAACAAUAAAAAAUUAUAGAUACGUUGGAGACGUAUCACACAUCGGGAAACACUUCAGGCGAGACGAGACGUAAUACGCGUCUCAAAACGCACAACCCUGGUUCCCUCCAACGUGCUCUUUGAGCUCACGCCUGUUUUUUCCCUUUCUUUUUGUAAUUUUUUUGUCUUUUUUGUUUUUUGUUUUUCAAAAAAGGUUGUGAUUUUAGAAAGCAUUUGAAUUUACAAAAUCUUCCUGGAUUUCAAUAACUAUUUCUAUAUUUCGAAAAAAUAUUCUAAAAUCCAAAAAAUCAUGAAUUUACAAAAAAUGGUUUGAAUUUGAAAAAAUAUUCACAAAUUUGGAAUAUGUUUCUAGAGAUCAAAAAAUAUUUAUGAAUUGGAAAAUAGUUCUCAUAUUUCAAGAAAAUUCAUGAAUUUUAAAAUAUGUUUAUGUAUUUUCAAAAAUCAUGAAUUUGAAAUUGUUUCUGUACUUCAGAAAAUGUGCAAUAAUAUGAUAAAAUGUUUCAAGAUUUCAAAAAUUAUUCUUGUAUGCAAAAAAAUCUUCUUAGAUUUCAAAAUAUAUAUAUAUAUAAUCAUUAAUUUGAAAUUUUUCCAAAUAUAGAAAAUAUUCAUUAAUUAAUAAAAUGUUCCAAAUAUGAAAAAUAUGAGAAGGUUAAAAUUUAAAUAAAAUCUCAUGUUUUAGAAACAUGUUCACGAAAAUAUAAUAAUGAUAAAUGCAAAAGGUAAAAAUGGUAAAAGGUAAUAAAAAUAAAAGGGAAAAACACAGAACAAAAAAUCUGUUACGGGAUGGUCCUAGAACCUUAACCGAAACCGGUCGGGGGAGGAACUUGGAAUGGGCUGCCGCAUAUAGCAGGUCCUCUCCUUGGGGGGUUUGCGUUUGGUCGAAAUUCCCUGCCCUACGCGGGGAAUAGGACCCGCCACUUGCUUGCAAAUAAGAUUGAGGAAAUUUGGCCUCAAUUUCCUUUACCAGUAAUAUCCCGCAACAAAUUGAAAUUUUCCGUCGUAUGACGAAGUGCUUGUUCAUAGCAAAAAGGAAACUAUGUGUUGGGUUGAAGACUUGGACUGGGUUUGAUAGAGUGAGCGCUAAAUGGAGUGUGUGAAAAUAAAACGGCAAAAUGGGAUAGGCUCCGCGUGUGGUUUGCUGAGAAUUGUCAAGCCGGUAAAUGGGCUUGGCAACCCAUUCUCCUGGACAUGAUGUCAAUUGUCAUGUAGCCAAUUCCAGAUGGAGGUCUAUUACAAGCCGAGCCAGAAAAGGGGCAUCAUUUACUUUGCACGGUGUCAUAGCCGGGUUGCAAACUUUCCAAAGAGGGUAUAUCUGGAGAAUUGGUGAUGGUAACAACGUUAAGAUAUGGGCUGAUCCCUGGGUACCUGUUAAUCUGAAUAGAAUGAUAGUAUCUCCAAGGGGCUAGACAAUUAUUACCCAAGUCAAUGAAUGCAUAGAUCCAUUUACCAAUCAGUGGGACGAGGAGCUUAUCAGAUCCACCUUUUGGCCAAUUGGUGUUAGAAGGAUCCUUCAAAUUAUAUUGAAUUACUUGGCAUUUCAUGAUUUCAUCUCAUGGCACUGUUCUAGGACUAGGAUUUUUUUCUCAAAAAAACUGCUUAUCACCUUGAAGGGCAACAUAAAUAUGGUACUAGUUUACUCGGGGAACUCCUUUACUCGGACUAGGACCAUUUGUGACAAAUCUAGUUUCGAGAGCUCUUUGGCAGUUGUAAAUUCCACCCACAGUGCAUAUCUUCUGUUGCGAAGUCUCCAGGGUAUUGUUCCCUUAAAAUCUAUUUUAGCGAAUCCCCAUUAGAUUGAUAGGACAAUGUCUAAUCUGUAAGCAUGGAGGAGAGGAUGUGAAACACCUUUUGUUAGCAUGCAAUAUGGUUGUGCAACUAAGGACUAGACUGGGAAUCUAUGAUCGAAUUGUUGCUGUGGUUAGGGCAGAUCGCUCAGGGUCCGAGACCUCGGAACAUCUAAUCUGUGGUGCGGGAGGAGUUAUGCCAGGCACUCAGAUAACCGGGAUCACAGAAACAAUUGCAGUCGGUUGUUGGUACUUAUGGUGGCUAAGACCCCAAGUAACGCAUGAAGGAAAAGUCUUUCCGUAUGGCGAGGUGCAGUUUCUAUUCUAGCAGUUACAGGAAAUGCUGCAAAUAUAAAAGAUUCUUAAGCAAAUGUUGUUGAUGGUCGCUGGGCAAAACCAGAGCCUAGGUCAGUAAAGCUAAAUGUUGAUGCGUCCUAGUUUGCAGAUGAAGCGGCUGGGGCAAGGGCGGAUGUUCUCAGAGACUGUAACGACAAUUUUUUGAUGAGAAGAAAAUAUAGUCAAUGCCCUACUGAGAGCGGCAAAAUGGCUCCUGAGCUCAACUGCUCCCGCUCGUGCACAGUAAAAUCAAAAUAAAUACUAGAAAAUUUUAAAAAUCUGAUUUUUUUUCUAUGAAAGAUAUUUGAGUGUGCGAGGUCCGUGCCAAUUUUUAGCGUGUUUGGACAUCUGGGUAGUUCUCAGAAAACAACAAUUUGAGAUAUGUGAAAAAGUUUACUAUUUAUGCAUUGUUCGGACCGAUUUUGUUUUUGUUUGUUGAGAGCUACUCAGGUGUCCGAAGGCGGUGAGAAUUGGCACGACCUCACGCACUCAAACAUCUCCCAUGCAAAAAAUGAUUUUUUUUUAUUUUUCCAGUAUUUUUUUGAAUUUACUGUUCGAUGAGUGUGGAUGAGGCCUGGCUCAGAAUUGGAUAUUCGGUGCCCUACUUCACAUCAUUUGCUACGGCAUGAAAAAAAUGGAUGCCUUAAUUUUAUAUCGUCUGUUAUAUAUGGAAGGAAAGAAAUCUGGUGCCCUAAAACUGUUUCCGAAUGCCCUAUUUUAGGUAAUCUGUUGGAGAUGCUCUUACAUCCCUCGGUUUGAUCCUGAUUAAGGUUGGGGCCGGGUUGGACGGUGGGUUUUCCUUUACCUUUACUGCGUCGAACUUGCCUUCGUUAGUUUCAAAUUAUAAAAUUUUGCUUUAGAGCUUUUUUAGGGUACCCUGUAGUGAAUAAAGACCGUCCAUCCGCAAAAUCAAACGGCCAUGACCGACCUGUACUGCUGCAAUCAGGCCAACAACAUGGCAAGCAGUAUUAGUAGCACCGGUCGUUUUCGACCAACCAGUAUACAUGUUCUCAGGGCAUUCUGGGACUUCUACGAUUCACCUCGCACCGACCCACCCCGCCCGUUGUUUUCAUCUAUGGACUCUGGUAGAGUUCCGGUGGCCACCACUGUGCCUCCUCUUUCUUCUCCAGCCCGCCUUCCCUCGCUCAAGAAGCCCGAGUCUCGUUCCUUCCCCGUGCAUGGAUCCGGCGCUCGACUGCGUGGCGUAGGCCUCGGCCCAGACCGUGCUCUUCUUCUCCAAUAGGUCCGAUAGGACGACCAUGAGGCGUUGGCUUGCGCUCCUCCCAUGGCUGGCUGAGCGCUCGUUUUAUCUUGGUUCACAACGGCAGCGAGGAAACCACUUGGCGCCGUUGUCCGUCAAUGCGGAGGCUUGCCAUGUGCAGAAGUUCGUCGUCCCGUCCAUGACGACCAGGCAGGAUGAAGGAGGGCGUUGAGGUAGCCGUGGUCGCCAAGUGUUGGUUCCAUGUAUGUAUGUAUGUGAGGAGAGCAUGGCGGCGAUGGGAGCAAGCAGGCGAUGCCGAUUACAAGCUAUUACUACGAAAUAGGCUGGCAUCUUGGCCCAUCAACAAUCCCGUUUCAACGGUGAGAUUUAAUUAUACUGGUCCGCUCACGCCAAGCAGUAUAGGGUACCAUAAAAGAGCUCUUGCUUUAAUGGAAAAUGGGGCCUCAAACUGCUCACCGGAACAUUUCGAUCGGGUUAGACGCACAUCAGCACAUGCAUGGUACUAGCGGUACCGUUCCUCAACAAGACACGCGUUGGUACGUGCCGCCGUGUGUUCCUCGCCCAGAACCAGAUCCAAGGGAGCACAUGCACCAACGGUAUUGACUGUUGAGCAUUGCACCUUUGCAAGUACAGCGUCGAGUUGCCCCGGCCCCCCCGCACCGGCCGUGCCGUGCCGUGCGUGCCACGGUGACGCCUCCGCGGAGGCGGAGCCAUGCAUGGGAGGCCAAGGUGACCUCUCCAGCCAGCCAGCCAGCUUUGAAUGUUGGGCUGAUCAAACGUAUCGGAAGUGGCACAACAGUGUCUAUAUGGGAGGAUAAAUGGAUCCCAAAUACAUUGACAAAGGCACCUGUUGCACGUCUUGGCGAUGUACAAAUCAGCUGGGUAGCAAACAUUAUUGAUGAUGAGAAUUGGACUUGGAAGUCUGAAGUUAUAAGACAAUCCUUUAUCCCUCCAGAUGCGGAUGCAAUCCUUAAUAUCCCUUUGAGGACUGGAGGGGGAGAUGAUUUCUAUGCCUGGGCGUCUGAGAGGUCCGGGAUUUAUACUGUAAAAUCAGCGUAUCGCUCUCUAAUGAUUCAGAACGAGCAUAAAGCUCUAGAAGAAGGGACGACUACAGAUACUUCGGAGAUGGAUAAACAGUUGUGGUCUCGGUUAUGGAAACUCAAAGUGCUGCCCAAAGUUCGCGUCUUCUGGUGGCGCGUGAUGCGAGGGAUUCUUCCCGUCGAAAGUACACUGAAAUAUCGGCAUAUAUCCAGCGAGAGCAGGUGCAAAAUCUAUUUGAGUUCAGAGGAGGAUAUGAUGCAUGCAUUACUGAACUGUAUCCAUGCGAGAAGGUUUUGAAACGAAGCCCCGCAGUGGCUGCAUGUUAAGCGACCAGACCUGCACCCUCUUACUUGGGUUAAGGAUGUCUUGUGUGAGUCUCUGUUUUCAGAUUCUGAUAGAGCAAAACUUGUGUCUAUCAUGUGGGCUAUUUGGACUUCACGCAACAACAUCACACAUGACAAAGGAGAGUUUGAUCCUGUUCGGUCCAUGAAGCACAUACAGGAAGCUUUAGCGAUUUUAGAGUUACCUCAAGAUCAUGCUCGGAUCUUGCCUGGUCAUGGUUGGAGGCCGUCGGAUGAUGCGUGGAUAAAAAUCAACGUCGACGGUAGCAUUGCCAUGGAGUCCCGCCGAGGAGGGGUUGGAGGGGUAGCACGUUCUCCGUCUGCUUUCAAGGCUGCAUGGUGUAAGCCAUACUAUGGAAUCACAGACCCUCUUCUGGCUGAAGCGUUGGCUCUUCGAGAUGGCGUAAUUUUCGCAAAGCUUCGAGGUUAUGAUCAAGUCAUCUUGGAGACGGAUAGCCAAGAGGUUGUUAACCUCUGGCACUCGCGCCAUGAUUUUUCAAUGGUGGCGCCGAUUCUUGACGAGAUUGGGGAGCAUGCCAGCUCUUUUAAAUUUUUUCUUAUUCAACAUGUGGUGAGAUCAGCAAAUUUUCCUGCUCACCUUUGUGCGAAGCAACCUAACAUGAUGGAUGUAACAGAUUGUUGGUUAGACUCUAUGCCUAGUUUAUUUGUAACUAGCCUCCUGGCAGAUGUUGCCGGGGUGGUUUCUGUUGAAUAAAACUUUCUAAUUUGCCCUGCAAAAAAAAAAAAAAAGCCAGCCAGCCAGCCACCAUAGCGGCGCAUUGAAUUUGGCGUGCGUGGAGCGGGGCCAGAGAUCAAUCCAAUCUACGGGCUGAGGAGCUGGCUGUGGUGCAGUGUGUGGGCGCUGCAUGCGUACGGCGGCGUGCACGAUGGACGGGCAUGGAUCCCCACCCAGCGACGCCGUUCGUAUGCGCGUGCAUGUGGAAUGUCCUGCGUGCCGGAUCGGUUAUUGGGCGUUGAUGAUUGCCCUAUCUGCUCCGGUUUUAUGGCCAGCUGAGCUUCUCCUUUUCCAAGCUUCCGGUGUGCGCGUUCACAGUCUGUCUGCUAACCUAACCGGUACCCGGCCGGCCGGUGCGGUGGCGAUGCUUCCCGACGAUGAUGGGUGAUCCUAACUUGCUAGGCAGGGCUGGAAAUGUCGGCGAGUUAUUAAUUAGCGGCUCAUGUACUGAACUAGUACAACGUACGUGCUCCAGUAACUCGUCAGUUCAGCCGGUCGAUCGGGUACUCUUAUUAUGGGGGAAAAGACUGCAUGCACUAUACGUCGGCAUUGCUCAAAAGUCAAAACCAACUCACCAUGAACGGAAGAUGCACUCACACAAUGUAGGAGCUUCGGUUCACCCAAUCAGAAAGUAACUGAUGUGCAGCUAGCUAUAGCUAGCUACCUCGUCCUUGAGCUAAACACGUACCAUACGUACGUACGUACGUCGAGCUAAGCUAGCUACCUCGUGUUCCCGGCUUUCGAUCAGCUACGCAUAGCAAUACAUACAUGUACUAAUCCACAUCACAUGGCGCUAGCUGGACAGUGCGUGUGCAAACGACCAGUGUGUAUCCACGCCGAUUCUCAACAUCUUUUGUGGUACUGUACGUAUGAUUGUAUUUGGAUACGUCUCCAGAGUCCGUCCAGACCCCAGACUGUGUUGUAUAAAUCCCUCGUGCCCGUGCCUGCCGGUCCUUGUUUACACUCGGAGCGUCGUCGCCGACGCGGUGAAGCUGCAUUGCUUAACCACAUUGCCCGCCGCCUCCAAGUUAAAUGCCGGACCCAACAGCGCGCGAGUGGCAAAAAGGCCCAAUCGGUGAUUAAUCUCCACCGCUGCCCAACUCACCAGCCCUAUAAAUAACACACAAGCAUGACAGUACGCACAUCCCCUCUGUGUGUGCGUGUGUUGUCGCGAUCACAAUCAAUCUCACUCACUCACUCACUCACUCCAUCCAGCAGCGGCUCGCUCACUGUGUCACCGAGAAGAUACUCGGUAGCGCAAUGGCGGGGCGAGCGUGCUGGCGGUCGCUGGCCGUGGUGCUGGCGGUGGUGGGCGCGGCGGCGGCGACGGCCGGGGCGGCGCCGCAGGUGCCCUGCUACUUCGUCUUCGGGGACUCGCUGGUGGACAACGGCAACAACAACGGCAUCGUCUCCCUGGCGCGCGCCAACUACCCGCCCUACGGCGUCGACUUCGCCGGCGGCCCCACCGGACGCUUCUCCAACGGGCUCACCACCGUCGACGUCAUCUGUAAGCAUAAAACUUUCUUCUGCCGUAUUCGUACUUUGCAUGCUUUUACCAAAAUGCACGUACGGCAGCUUGCUUCCACUAUACGUGGCACGUACACAUUGUGAAACUACAUUUCAAUCUUGCUCUGUUUUUGCGCUGGGUGCAGCCAAGCUUCUGGGCUUCGACGACUUCAUCCCCCCCUUCGCCGGCGCGACCAGCGACCAGCUCCUCACCGGCGUCAACUUCGCCUCCGCCGCCGCCGGCAUCCGGGAAGAGACCGGGCAGCAGCUGGUACGUCACGUAGUCUACUACCACCUUCAUGCUACUACGCGCUCUGUUACUACGUAGCAAUCUCGAAUGUCAUGCCGAUUCCUCAAGAGAUGCUUCUGGCUGCAGGGUGGGCGCAUCAGCUUCAGCGGGCAGGUGCAGAACUACCAGAGCGCGGUGGAGCAGCUGGUGAGCAUCCUGGGGGACGAGGACGCGGCGGCGAACCGCCUGAGCCAGUGCAUCUUCACCGUCGGCAUGGGCAGCAACGACUACCUCAACAACUACUUCAUGCCGGCCUUCUACAACACCGGCAGCCGCUACACGCCGGCGCAGUACGCCGACGACCUGGCGGCGCGCUACACGCAGCUCCUGCGCGCGCUCUACAGCUACGGGGCGCGCAAGGUGGCGCUCAUCGGCGUGGGGCAGGUCGGGUGCAGCCCCAACGAGCUGGCCACGCAGAGCGCCAACGGCGUGGCCUGCGUCGACCGGAUCAACGUUGCCGUCCGGAUGUUCAACCAGCGGCUCGUCGGCAUGGUCGACCAGUUCAACCGCCUCCUCCCCGGCGCGCACUUCACCUACAUCAACAUCGACGGCAUCUUCUCCGACAUCCUCCGGGCGCCGGGCGGCCAUGGCCUGAAGGUGACCAACCGGGGCUGCUGCGGCGUGGGGCGGAACAACGGGCAGGUCACCUGCCUGCCGUUCCAGACGCCGUGCCCCAACCGCAACGAGUACCUCUUCUGGGACGCCUUCCACCCCACCGAGGCCGCCAACGUGCUCGUCGGCCAGCGGGCCUACGCCGCCCGGCUCGCCUCCGACGUGCACCCCGUCGACCUCCGCACCCUUGCAAGCCUCUAGCCCGCCCGCUCGUCGGAGGGAGGGGCGACGGCCGCCGCCGUUGGUGUCGGUGAAAAAUAUGCAUAAUUCUGAUUCUACGGUGUACCAGCACAUACAAGAUGAUACGUUUGCGUCUGAAUUUUGCACCAACUGUACCCUCUUACUCAGUUCACAGUGCUUCAGAUGGGCAACCAACCAUGUACUACAAUUGUGCAGCAUUUAAUAUAAUACUGUAUAAACAACUGUCUUUGGCUGAGAAGAAUAGCUUGCAGUUCACAGAAUUCAUUAAUUUGCUGGAAGAAUUUAGUCUGCAAAAACAUAUGAAUAGGAAUGCAACAAGCUUGGGGCUUCGUAUUACCACCACUGCCAAAGUCACAUGAGGAAAAUAACAGAUUUUCCCUUCCAAUGCUAGAAAAUUCUACCUAUGGCAGCACUGAAACUACCAUCUGACCAAGAUGAAAAGGCAGGGCUCUCGACGAUUGAUCGCUCGAAAACAAACAAACAACAAUGGUUUCAACAUGAAAAGUUGGAAAAUAAUAGAACUUCUCUUCCAAUGCUGGAAAACUCCAUCUAUCCCAGCUGAAACUACCAUCUAACCAAGAUGAAAGGGCAGAGAUGCUGCCGAUUGCUUGAGGACAAAUACAAUCUAACCUAAAUGGAGGAGCCAGGAGCAUAUUACAACAACAACAACAGUAGGGAAGGGCUAGCGAUAUUACGGGAGAAACUGAUGCAAGAUGCCAGCUCCGUCCCAUAAGAUCAUUUAUCUGGUUUCAGGUUGGGCUUGGUACGAAGUAUCUUCAUGAUUAGCUAGUCUGAUGACGACGAAAAGACUCAUUAACCCUGGGAACGGUUAAACUCUGCAGCUUCAG